rnacentral:lncRNA from 1 species
CCAAGUCAUCUAACAUUUUAAACGCCAAACUGGAAACUUCUAAUAGCCAGUUUCUAUUUCUCAAGUUGUUUUUUAUUUUUUAUUUUACCCAUCUUCCAUAAUCAGUACCAGGCAAUGGAAGCAUAAAUUGUUUGGCUUAAGAGAAAGUGUCAACCACCCAUUAAUGCAACUCUUUACCUUCUAGUUUUGUCUCAAAAGCUUUUUUCAACCUGCGAGCGCUCAACCGAAAUCCAUCUGUUUUAUGUUCUUAUUUUUUUUUGGGUUCUUGGUUGUUGUUGAGAUAAGAGCUUGGGGAUGAAGUCUUACCGGAUGAAUCUAAAUCUCUUGAAACCAGUGAACGAAGAAGGUUGAUAUCUGGGAACUAUGAAAGCAUUGCCUCUCAAUCUUCUGUUAGCUUUGAUACAAGUAGUUUUCCGUCUCUUUGAGCUUCCUUUUUGAAUAACUAGUUGAUGUCUCUCAUUCCGCCGAGGAAUUUUAUUUGUAUUGAUAUUAAUAUAAUCAUAUUUUAUUAAUUAAAAAAUUAAAUAUAUAAAAAACAAUUAUUUAUAAAUUAUACAAUACAAAUGCAUUGGUUUGAAAAUAAAUAUAAAUUAUUAUUAUUAUUAAUUAAAUUUUGUUUAAACUUUUUUAUCAUUUGAGUUAAAAUUUAAAAAAGAUUUUCACAUAGAAAUUUUUUCUAAAAAAAAUCAUCUACUUAUAAUUUUUAAAAUUUUCAUAAUUUAAAUAAUUAUCAUUUAUUUUGAAAAUUAUUAUUCACUCUCUCAUCUUUUCUCUUCAUACUCUCUGGAGUAGUAUGAAUUGCAUGUCGAAAACAUCAAACAUUUUCAAAUCCUUAUGAUAUUUUUCAUAUUUCAACAAACAUUUGUUGAGGAUUUUUUUUUUUUAAUUCCUAACGUUAGUUUAGGAAAUGGAUUUAUGAACUCUAGGCUGAUGUUUCAACCUAGAUGUGUCGGCAAAUAUUACUUUAUGACUUAAAUAGUCGAGAUUUUUUUAAUAUUUAAUUAUUUAUUAAUAUUAAAAAAUAAAUUAAAUUAAAUUAAAUGUUAAUUUUUUAUUUAAAUAAUAUUUAUUUUUCAUAUGUUUUAAUAUUUAUUAAUAUUACUUAUUAUAAAUUACAUAAUAAAUAUAAUCGCAUAAGAAUUAUUUUUUCAUAAAACUCUUUCCCUUUUAAAUUUCUAAUAUAAGAAAAAAACAUAAAAAUAAUAACAAAGUCAAAUUUAACUAUACUCAUAUAAUUUUAUACCUUAAUUAACCCUCAAACCUCAAACCAUUAUUUAUAACAAGUGUUAAUUGUUUAAAAAUUGAAACUCAAAAAUCUAAAUGAAAGCUUUAGAUUCAACAUGGAUAACUUUAAUAUAAAGAUAUUGAUAAUAUUGGUUCUAUCUUUGUUACUAUUUAAAAUAACAUAUAACAUAAAUAUAUGUAAAUUAAAAUGUUAAAAAAAUAUUUCUAAUAAAUUCAAAAUGUUUCUAAAAAUAAUAAAAAUAAAAUAUUUAUUUUUUUCAAUUAGAUUGGUUUACUUAUAAUAGACCAACCCCAUUCAUAAAAAAAUGGGUCUACCUUUUUCUGCCAUCAUAUUUAUUUUUUAUGGCCAACACAUUAGAUUUUUUUAGUCUUCAUUUUUUUUCUUUGAUUAGUUUCAAUGAUACCGUUUAAAUCAAUACUGAUGGUGCUUCAAUUAAAAAUUAAUUCAACUGUGUUUUGAUGGUUUGAUCAGGUCUUAAUUACACGGGUGAUUAGGUUGGGAGUAUAUGUAUUCGAAUAUUGCAAAUGAGCAACAGGCUUUCGAUAAAUUUGCUGCAUGCUUGGAAGAGAUCUCUAAUUUGAAAUUAAGUUCAUAAUUAAGAGAAGGUAAGUUGUAGCCAAAGCCCAGAGGUUAUGGCAUUUCAAAAGGUUUUUGCUUAUUCGUUAAGCCAAAAAGCCUAUUUAAGUCCAGUAGUUCACAGUAUCUUUUCCAGGCUCCAUUCGUCUCUGAUGUGAUUAGUCAUCAUGACUCAUGAUUUUAUUGCAAUUGCCAAUGCCUCACGAUUUCGGUGAUUAAUCAUCAUGGCUCAUGACUCAAUGAAGUUGUUUCUUAAACAAAACGUCAUAAUAGUCAUUCACAUAAUAAAUGUUAAUUGUGUCAAUUAAGGUAUAUGUAUCACAAAAAUAACAUAAUAAAAAAUUUAAUAGGAUAUAUAAGAAACUUUUAAAUUUGCAUCAAUUACGAUAUUUUAUUUAAAAAUAAUAUUGUAAUUGAAUUAAAAAAUUAAAAAUUAAUUUCAAAUUUAAUUUUAAAAAAAGUAACAUAGAUGUGAUAAAUUUUUAAUUCAAAUUAAAUUUAAAAAUAAAGUAAAUUUUUUUUCAAAAAUCCUAAAAUAUCAUAAAAAUUUUAAAUUUUAAAAUUUUCAAAAUUUAAAAAAAUUAUAUUUUUAUUUUCUCCAACCAAACACACUUUUAUUUGUUAUUUAGAUUGUUCUUUAGCAUGUCGUACUAUACAUAUGAAAUACUGUACAACAUUAACAAUAAUGGUUUCAAAGGGUAAACGGAAGUUCAUGCUAGAUAGAUUUUGGAGGGUAAAAAAAUUUAUGAUUUUCCAUUUGCACUUAUUAAAGAAAUGAAAAACAGUCGGUCGUGGAGUUUCACUUGGGAUGGCUAAAGCUGCAGAUCUCUUUGUGGAUGUAAAGAAUUUUCGAGCUAUGUUUGGAGGAAGUUGGUCACCCUGGAUUCAUGAAAGGGUAAUGAUAUCAUAGCAUUUAGUAAAAGUACUGGAAAUUACAGUAAUUUUUUGUUGCCAAAAUAAAAGAAUAUAUAUUCCAUUUUCACUUAAAAAAAAAAAAAAACUUGCCAUAUGGGUACGGACUAUCUUUGUAUUCUAUAUAGAUCGAUAGAGAUAUUCAAAGUUUAGUCAUAAAAGGAAAAAAGAAAAAAUUGUAUAAACCUUCAAAAUAAUUUUAAUACAUUAAAUUAUUAACCACUAUGAAUUUCGGCUAAUUAAUGUUUACAUUAUAUUUGGACUGUGAGUAGGAGAAAGGAAAUGAAAGCAAGAGAAAAAUAAAAUUCUUUUUUUAUUUAGAUAAAAUUUAAAAUUAGAUAAAAAAAAAAGAGCAAAAUUGAGCAGCUUUGGUUUCUCUUCAAAAACUCAAUCAUUUUUUUUUCUUUUAAGAGAAGAUAUAGCCUUUACAAGAUAAAAAAAAAAAAAAUUUCGACUCAAAAUCAGAAUUUUUAUAUUUUAUAAAAUAUUUUUAACCACUACAUCAAAUGAUGAAGAAUUAACCAAUUUUUUUCUUAAAGCAAUAAAUAUUCAUACUUUUUAAAAUAUUUUAUAUAAGUAUUUAUCUUACUAUUGCAUCUAAUUAGAUUCUUAAAAUAUUAUUUUUGUUUAAUUAAAUUAUUUUUUAUAUGAACAUUAAUUUGGCAAAAAUAGUAAAUUUUUAGUAAAUUUUAUGUAAAACAAUAAAUUAAGAACUCAAUAAAAAGAGAAGAGUUUAGUUGAAAAGUUUAAGAAAGUAGAUGGAUUUUUUAAUAUUUUAGUUCAAAAGCAAAUAGCUGUACUUUCGGCCUAUAAUAAUUGGCCCAAUAUUCAGGCCCAUUAUUAAGAGCCAGCCAGCAGCCCAUAAGUCCAGAAGCUUCUAAAAAUCUAUUCCGACAUCUCCGCAAAAUAGUAAAGUGAAUGAUGUGAUACGUGGCUCAGGCUGCGUGAACUCAAUCUCUUUGCUCUAUUUUUAGCGGCGCAGCAAAACUGUUAAACCACUGAAAUCCAACCUAAUUAAAAUCGCUCUGUCACGCCACAGUGUCCUGCUUUGGCCGCCUCUCCAAAGAACUCGCCUGUCGCUAGCAGCUGAUAAAAAAUAAUUUAAAGAAAAAGCCGAUCGCCUCCUCUUCCGACAAUGGCGGAAGCUCAAACCGAAAAACCCCCUUCCCUAUUUGAGGUACGUUUUUUACUCAUUCUGUUUUAUAAUUAAGUUUCAUUUCUUUGAAAGCAAUAAUCGUAGUAGUUUAUUCUUUCCGAUUUUGUUUAUUGCAAUUGUUGAACUGUUUUAGAUCUUCAAUUUUGAUUUUUUUAUGGAAUGUAGUUUAAUUGGAUUGAAAUGAGCAGAUCUGACCGAGUAGUUCUGGAUAUUAUUAAUGAAAUUAGAAUAAUUUGGUGAGUAGAGCAUAUCAGCUUUUUUAAGUUUUGAGAUGGUGCUUUUGAUUAAAUUUUGAUUGUUUAUGCUCGUUAUUAAAUAUAAAUAACAUCCAAUUUUCUUGAGAAUCAUCAUGAACAUGUGAUUAACAUAAUUUAUUGCAACUUUUGUUUUCUAAAUUAACUCAAUGAAGUUACUCUAUGAUUUGCCUUAUGAUUCUAGCUAUCUGAGUUUGCUGUUCACAAAUGUCGGCUUCCCAAGAGGCUUCAUUAAUGACGGUCAAUGAAACGUAACAUUUGGAGCAAAAGUUGAUUGGGUUUUUUCAGUAGCUGUGGUGCUUAAUCAAACAACUAAUACUAAAAUAUGGAUCAAAUAAAAUUUAUGCUCAAAAUUUCCAGUGGCUUAAGAAUUCAAGCUUUUGACUAAGAGCAGGUUAUAGUUUUCACUGGUCUUGCGGCCAUGUCAAUUCAUAUAGUAGCGCUGUGUGAAAAUUGCUGUUUAGGAACUAAAAGCAAAUUCAUUUAUGAGUAUUUUGUGUGAACAAUAAUGUUCAUCAAUGUUUUAGAAUGAUGAACUGGGCUUUCUAUCUUCUUCUUUCAAGCUUGUUGUUCCUUCUUGAACAUUCCAUUCAUGCUUAAAUUUAGCUAAGAUACAACCUUGAUUGCAAAGUUUUGGUAUUGAUAACUUCAAUGAACUUCCUAUAUAUCAUGCUUGUAAAGCCUUUUGUAUAGCUGAGCUGGUACUAAGUUCUCUGAUACUCUGUGUGUGUGUGUGUGUGUGUAUGGUGAGGGUAUUUAUUUGACCUGAUUAUGCUGGAAGCCUAUUUAUUAUUUUCUUGAAUGUUUGGACAUUUAGCAAUAUGCGCUGAAGGAGAAGGAGGAGAAAUCAGAUGUGGCUACAAAACCAGCAGAAGCAAAAGAGCUUGAAAAUCCAGUGAAUGCUGCUUCUGGGGAAGUUGUCACUGAGAAAGUGAAGGAGACUUCUGCUUCUCCAGUUGAGGAAAGCAGCGAGGCCCCUCCUGCUGCUGCUACUGAAGAAAGCACUGAAGAUAAUUCUGAUGCUGAGAACAGUGGUGAAGAUGCUCUCGCUGCUGCAGAGGAGAACUCAGAUGAUGCUGAUGAAACACCAGAGAUAAAGGUUGCCCUGCUGAACAUUUUUAUUAAGAACUUCAUCUUUGCUGCCUCCAGAUUCUUUUGUGUAUAUGAAACUCAUCUUUACAUGUUAGAUUGCUUCACUAACAUAUGAGGUGCAUGUUUGAUAUUCAGCUUGAAACUGCCCCAGCUGAUUUUCGCUUCCCAACUACAAACCAAACAAGGCAUUGCUUCACACGAUAUAUUGAGUACCAUCGGUGAGUUAUGAAUUUUUUUGUAUCUUAUAAACGUAUAAAGGUCUUUCAAUGCUCCUUGAUAUAUCUUUAUCCUUUUGUCUUGUGCAGUUGUGUAGCUGCAAAAGGAGAAGGUGCUCCAGAGUGUGAUAAGUUUGCCAAGUAUUAUCGCGCCCUAUGUCCUGGAGAAUGGGUGUGUAUUUUCUCCUAUGAAUCACAUUACACUCCUCUUCAUCAUAAUUAGUUGCAUAAUGGUUUUAACUUUUGUUGGAUGGCUGUUGUUUGUUGCUUUUUAUUAUGUUUGUAAAUCAGGGAAUACCUUAUGACCCCUCAUCUUUUUGAGAAAGGGAUUUCUAAGUUAACUCUAAAUGUGAUGACCUAUUUGGGUUGCCUGCAGCAAUGAACAUGUUGAAGGACAUUCUUUUGUCAAGAAGUUUAGGGUUUAAUUGGCAAAAUAAGGGACUUAAUUGGUAAAAUUUUGGUUUGAAAUUUGUGACAGAAUUGGGUUGAGAGGAUAUGAUGAAGGGAAUUAGAUUUGGGUUUUCGAUUGCAUCCAUGCCUUAGGAACCCAAUCAGUCUUCAGUGUUACUCAAGUCCUAUAGGAACCUAAUCAGCCUUCAGUGUUACUCAAGUCCUACUAAGAUGCGGAGAUUACACAGGAAGCUAACUAAUAAAUACGUAAAAAUAGACUUAAAUUGGGAGGAAACAUAUGACUUUUAAAAGCUACCACAAACCCUGAGCUUAACUAAAAUUCCCAAAAGACAGACCUAAAGUUCAAAUUUUAGGUGAUACAGGAAAAGAGAAGUCUGUUCUCGGAUGGCUCCAACUAGUCUAAAAAUAUGAUAUAGUCCAUUUUUGAACUGGUUUUUGAUCUAAAUCUUAUAAUUGAUUCUUUGGUUGAACUAAAAUUACCGAACUAGGGAAGAUUAAAUCUGGUUCCAUGCUUCCUUGUGUCAAAUUGGUCCAGUACUGGAGGUCCUCGGAUGGUGCGUUGUCAAUUGAUCUGGAGAUUUUUGUUAAAACCUAACAUGAAGAAGAAUCAAAAUACAAGGCAGCUGAAAACAAAGAGGCAGUAAUGAGAAUGUUUUGUUUUGCUUGCUUGAUUCAAUAUCUUUUAAAAGGUAUUUACUAGAGAUAAUUGGUAGUUUGAUUCUCAUUUUUUCGAGGUGUGGGAAAAUGUUGUGCUUUCAUCAAUCCAUUCUUCCAACCCCAGUUUACACUAUUUGAAUGAGUAUAAUAUGUUCUGGAUUCUGCGGCUGAAAUUAUAAAGAGAUGCCUGCUCUGUAGUUGGCUGCAUGUACUAAUAUUCUGUCUAUCUUCACAUGUUUGUAGAAUUUCAUCCUUAAUUUGUUUAUUUACCAUUUGCUUUUUAGGCUGACAAUUACUCUUGUUUUUUCAGAUAGACCGAUGGAAUGAGCAAAGGGAGAAUGGUACUUUUCCAGGUCCUCUGUAGAUGGUACCUAUCAGAAAACCAUGUUGUGGUUUUCUUCUGUUCUAUCACCAGUUAACCACAGAUGAAUUUCAUGAAUGAAAGGAGAAUUUUCGGGAAAUAAUAAGAAAAUUUGGCAUUUAUUUAAGACUAGAUCAAGGAUGAUACAAUGCGGUGCUCAUAAAAGAAAGUUAUUGAUUUGAAUUCAAAAAUUUAAAAACUAAAAUAUUUUGAUUUGGUGUGAUUUUUAUCUUAAAACCAAUCCAAUCUCACAAGAAAAGUUUCCUCUAAUGACGUUGGAACAACAGUGUUUGGUUGCUUUUUUUUCAGCUCUAAUAAAAAAAGUUGCGCGUAUAUAGAUAGUAAAAAACCAAUCUAAAGCGGAGAUUAGAGAAACGUUACAACUAAAAUGAAUUAAAUCUUACACUAAUUAAGCCAUUGCUAACUGUUACCACGAUGAAACCCUUUCUUCUUUUCUUGUGUUCAUCAUAUUCUUUUGCUUCAUACGAUAUGCAGGUUACUUUCUGAAUCCAUAAAAAUAACAAUCACCACACCUCAUCAUUGUCAUCGGAAAUACGUUUAGUUCUUGGAUGAGGUCUCUACGUCAUUUGUAAUAGAAACCGUCGAUCAAACCAUGCGGCUCGCAAGGAUUUUUGACCGUCAAAGUUUUUUAUUUUCUAAUUUCCAUGAUCAUGAGAAGACACAACGGAUCAAACCAAAUCUAUAAUUAGCUUUAACUUUUUAUGGCAUCAAAAUACGACUAAAGCCACCUAAAUGAAUAUGAAUCAAAGUCUAAUUAAGGGUUUUACAGCAUCCGAAUUCGAUGAAAUCCACCCUAAAUUGUGAAUACUUGAGCAAAUAUCACAAGUACAAAUCAGCCUAUUACCACAUUCUAGAGCAACAAUCAGGCUUUGUAGAGAGUGAAUUAAGCCCUUUCACCACGAAUCCUCCUGGCAAGUUGAAUGUCUUUGGGCAUGAUUGUAACACGCUUAGCGUGGAUAGCGCAGAGGUUGGUAUCUUCGAACAAUCCAACCAGGUAUGCCUCCGCUGCCUCUUGCAACGCCAACACGGCAUGGCUCUGGAAACGCAGAUCAGUCUGCAAACCACAAAGGCCAAUAUAAAAUCACCCCUUAAUGAACAAAACUAUACAUAUUAUAAACUCAAUUUUCAAAGUUUGAUUCAAAUUUACUAGUAUUACCUUAAAGUCCUGGGCAAUUUCACGCACAAGCCUUUGGAAGGGCAGUUUCCUGAUGAGAAGCUCGGUACUUUUCUGGUACUUACGGAUUUCACUGCAUCCAAUAGAAAAUCCCAAAUCAAACUCACGUAAGAAAAGAGUGAAUUUUUAGGGGAAAACAACCAGAACUGAUUCGAUGACUAACCGAAGAGCAACGGUUCCAGGGCGAUAUCUGUGAGGCUUCUUCACGCCCCCGGUUGUCGGAGCCGACUUGCGAGCAGCCUGAGAAGACAAAAGAAAGGGUUUUCUUUACACCAAACGAACAAAUAAAACAAACCGACGAAAAAUUUGAUAAAAUCGAAUAAUUGAAGUACAAAGAAAACCUUAGUAGCAAGCUGCUUCCUUGGAGCCUUGCCGCCGGUAGACUUACGAGCAGUUUGCUUCGUACGGGCCAUCUAAAUUGACCAUAUCAAAUAUAGUUAAAUUCCCCAACAAAAAAAAUAGAAAUUCUCUAAAUUUCUACGAAAUUUCUUCAUAAAGCUUAAAAUAAUCAAUCAACAGAGAAAAACAAGAAAAACUCAUAAAACCGGGAAGUUAAGACGCUCACCUUAAAUUUUUUUUCUGUGUAAAACGAAAGCUAAGGACGAUAACGAGAUAGAUUUGGAGAGGAGAGAAAAGUCUAGGGCACGACGCGGAAACUUGGGAGGCAAGAAUCUUAUAUAGGGAAGAACGUGAAGUCUUACGCUUAUUUAUAUGAAGCGUGGACAAAGAAAACGUGACUGAUUCACAUUUGGUGUUGGUCAAAUUGUUAGUAAUCGGACGGUUAAAUGUUCUGCCUGCUGUGUCUCUUGGAACCUCGAUGAACGGCCUAGAUGCCCAUUUUAAGGAUGUCUCCUGGAUCAACGUGGAGACAUACUAGCUUCCUAUUGGUCCACAAACUUGAACUAGGCGGUUUUUUCUCAAAACUUCGGCUCACCGCGCCGACAUCCAACUACGUCGUCGUUUAUCUCAAACUGGAAUAAAAAGUGGCAAUGGAAACGGCGGCGUUUGUCACUGUCCUAUAGAAUCUAUUCCUGCGAGACAGAAGAACACGUGUUUAGACAUGAUUGGUCAAGUUAACCUAAAAUUGCUUUUUUUUUUUUUUUUGCAGUUUUUUAAUUUCUACGAAAGAAGAUAACUUUAAUAGACAGAGUCUCAUAUCAUUCAAGCUGAGGCGAAAGCUAUGGCGUUACACUGUCAUUUAAGCGGGACGACAAUCCAAUCCCUAAAAGUGGCUACGAUUCCAAUCUCAUCUUCCUCGCCACGGUUCAUUUUCCGUUCACUUCCCAAAACCCUAAACCUCACUUUAUUUUCCCGCCACAGUCCACCGAAAACACCGCUUUUUACUCUUCUCAUUAGAGCCCUUUCAGCCCCGGCUGUGGCUACCUCACCCGCCGCCGAAAUUUCCGAUGAUAAAGGUAAUUACAUUAAAUUACUAAUCUUUUCUUAACUUUUUUUCUAUUGCUGAUAUUUUAAAUUUUUUUUGUAGUUGUAAAGCCGCAAUGGAAGGCUGCUAUAGAUUUCAAGUGGAUAAGGGAUAAUAAAGAAGCCGUUGCUGUUAAUAUUAAGAAUAGGAAUUCCAAUGCAAAUUUGGAGCUUGUCCUUGAACUUUAUGAUAAAAUGUUGAAUCUUCAAAAGGUUAAAUUUUAUUUUCGUUUUCUGCUUUAUUAAUCUUCAAAAUGACUGUAAUAAUGUGAAAAAGAAUUUUUUUUAAAAAAAUUUCAUAUUACUUAGCUAAUUUUGCUGACAGAUUGCAGGAAGUUGAGCGGCUUCGAAGGGAAAGGAAUAAUGUUGCAAACAAGGUGAAAGGCAAAUUGGAACCUUCUGAGCGUCAAAAGCUCAUAGAAGAAGGUAUUGCUCAAAAUGUAUUACUGUUUCUUGGUUUCAUUUUUGUGGUUUAAUUGUUUUGGUUUUGAAAAUGCAACUUGUUUUUCACGGUUCUGUGAUUCAGGAAAGAAUUUGAAGGAAGGACUUGUGACUUUGGAAGAAGACCUUAUCAAAUUAAGUGAUGAGCUUCAGCUUGAAGCGCAAUGUAUACCAAAUAUGACUCACCCGGCUGUUCCAAUUGGAGGGGAAUAUAAUUCAAACUUGAGGAAUAUGGUAUCUUUGUACCGAUAUUGCUUUGAUUAAUUUCUCGCAUUUAAGUCAUUAUAUGUCAUCUUUCUGGUGUUUUCAUAGCGCUUUUAUGUUCAAUUUGUAUUAUUGUAGGUUGGUAGCCCCCGUACAUUUGACUUCCCUGUCAAGGAUCAUCUUCAAAUUGGGAAGGAGCUAGAUCUAUUUGAUUUUGAUGCUGCUGCAGAGGUAUUUCUUCUGUUUGGACUGGGAAUUAAAGCAUCUCUAAUUUGUUGACGUGUUGUAUUAAGGGUUUUUAUUGGUAAAUUAAAUUAAAUUCGGUUGUUGUUUAACUGUGAAUUUUAGUUGAUUAGUUGCUUUCAUUACCUAUGACCAAUUUGGGAAGCUUGACCUUCUGUAGGUUAUGACUGCACUAUUUUCAAUUAGAUAAUGAAGAUACUGAACUGAGUUGCCUCUUGCAAUUUGUUUCCAACGUUGCAAUCUGAAAAUUUAUGGGUGUAUAAUGUGGCACUGGAGUUUCUAAACUCUGCAACUCUUAUGAAACCUUGUUAUAUAACAAAAAAAUUCUUUACUUAUCAAAUUGGAUGAUAUACCACAUUUCAUGCUUUAAAAAUCUUUGCCUUCCAAAUGACAAGGGUGCUAAGGUUUACUUAUACUGGUUGUUGUCUAGGUAAGUGGUUCAAAAUUUUACUACCUGAAGAAUGAAGCAGUGAUGCUGGAAAUGGCCCUCGUGAACUGGACACUGACAGAAGUCAUGAAAAGGGGCUUUACACCACUGACAACACCGGAAAUUGUCAGGUCAUCUGUUGUUGAAAAAUGUGGCUUCCAGCCUCGUGGAGAAAAUACGCAGGUUUGCAUAUAUUUUGGUUGUAGUUCCUUUUCCAGAAAAUAAGUGGUAGUUGCUGUAUUAAAUAUCAAGUGCCUCUAACAGUUUCAGAUAAGAAGGGUAUCAUUUUGGGACAAAUCACCAGUCAAAGCUGAUAUCAAACUCAAUGAACCACUUUGAUCAUGAAAUGGAUCAAUAGCUUGGAUUCAGCUUGAAUUGGGGGCUACUAACUUUUUAUUCAACUUUUUGAAUCUUCACAUUCUUAAUAUUCUGAUAUCAGAAUACUUAAUUUCUUCAAAGAGACUCUUGCAAAGUUGGGAAGUUCAUGUUAAUUUAAUUAGUAUUUCAUGAUGAUUUCUUGAUACUUAUUUCAAAUGCUAAACAGGUUUAUUCCAUUGAGGAUACUGACCAGUGCCUCAUUGGCACCGCAGAGAUUCCUGUAGGGGGAAUUCACAUGAAUUCUAUUGUUGCUGAGUCCUCAUUACCCCUAAAAUAUGUGGCAUUUUCCCAUUGUUUUCGUACUGAGGCUGGCGCUGCUGGCACAGCAACAAGGUGAUUAGCUACCUUAUGUUUCAUUUUUAUUUUACCCAUGUAUCAACUAUAAUUCCUUUGGUAAUGGUGAAAUAUGUUCUUUUAUCGAAGUCCCUAUUCUACUCUACCCUACCCUUGACCCCCCCCCCCCCCCCCCCAACCCCACUAGCUACAGGACUUACCUUGGCUGCGGAGGGGAAUACACCUCGAACUUGGGUAACCCUCCAAAUGCUGAACACCUCAUGCUGCUGACCCAAUUGGUCGUUGGUGUGAAGAAUGUUCUUAAAUCACUGAAAAAUCCAAAGUUCUGAAUCAACUAACUGGUGCCUUUUUUUACCAGGGGUCUUUAUAGAGUACACCAAUUCAGCAAGGUGGAAAUGUUUAUUUUAUGCAGACCAGAGGAAAGUGAUAUGUAUCAUGAGGAGCUUAUUAAAAUUGAAGAAGACCUCUUUUCGUCUCUAGGAUUGCAUUUCGUGUAUGGACUCCCAUUAACCUUAACUAACUCUAUUGUUUUGUUAUGUUAUUUGUGACAAUCUUUACUUUCUUGGCAGAUCUUUAGAUAUGGCUACCGGGGACCUGGGUGCACCUGCAUAUCGUAAAUUUGAUGUGGAGGCAUGGAUGCCAGGUUUAGAACGCUACGGUGAGGUAUUGAAAUAACCUUUUGCCUACCUAUUACAAGUUCAAUUAUUUUUGUCAAUUUUACCAGCUGUGAUUUUUUUUUUUUUUGUCAAUUGAAAUAGCCUUGAAGUAUGAAAUAAUUCUGUUUGUUGAGGAAAACAGUUGAACAUUUUGAAAUAUCUUCGAAUCUUUUUCUCUUAGGAUAGGAAAUACCUUUGAACCUUUGGUGUAACUCUUAUCUGUAAACAGAUAUCAAGUGCAUCAAAUUGUACUGACUAUCAAAGCCGCCGACUGGGCAUUCGGUAUCGUCCAUCAGAAUCACCCUCAACAACUUCCAAGAAGGGUAAAACCAACCUUGCUGCAGCCAGAUUUGUUCAUACAUUAAAUGCAACAGCAUGUGCAGUUCCUAGGAUCCUCGUUUGUUUGCUGGAGAAUUUUCAGCAAGAAGAUGGCUCGGUUAUUAUUCCACAUCGAUUAAGACCAUUCAUGGGUGGGACUGAACUUAUAUCUCCUAAAUCUAGAUGAAACGGAUUCGUGGUAACAAUAAUCCUCUCAUGGGGGUAUUUUCCAUAAGUUUAGGCAUGUUGUAGUCUCUGAAAAAAGAGAAAAUGGGAAAAGACAUAGAAAGUUUAUGUUGGAGGAAAAACAAAGAAAAAACUGAAAGUACAUUUUUUCCAAGAAUUGGAGAGUGAUUAAUAUUUCUGAGGUUUUGUUGAAUUUGAUUAAGCCUUUGAUGCAUGCAUGUUAAUGAUUGAUGGUUCAGGUUUGAACGUUAGCACCAUGAGUUGUUAUGAUCGAAUUGGUGAAACAGCUUGUCAGGUUGCGGACUUAAACAAGCUGCCUUGACAAUCGUGGCUGACAAGUUACAACAAACAUGUUUGCAAUCAGGUUAUCGUAUGAUGUGGAGUUAAAAAUACUCAAAUUUAAGUGUCAUUCUUUACCUUCUAACAUCUACCUGAUGGAUGAACAAAUAAAUUUAUAACCCAAAGGCUGAUAAGAAUAUUUUCAACUUAGAAAAUUUGUUGCCGGAGUGAUAACCAGGCAGGUUCGUGUACUUCUCUAGAUAACAGUGAUUUGCUUCUGCCUAUAAUUUGAGCUUGCUCAAUUCAAUCUUUUUGACUGGAUACGUGUAUGCCUCAUAAUUGAUUUGCUGGCCAAGGCAGCUUAACUUUGUGAGCGUAGUUAUCAGAUCAACCUGGAAUAGAAUCAAUUUUAACCGGAAUUAAUAUAUGAAAGGAAAAUUGUAACAAGGAAAUAUAAAAUAUAUUAUUGUAAUUUCUUAACCGCAGCCCUCUGCUUAAAUAUUAGCAGGUAGUAAUUCCAAUUUUCCAGGUACAAGGAUGAAGCUAUUACAACUUUGAAAUGGAAAAGGAGAAAUAAUCAACUAACCUCAUAAUCUGUCUGAGACACUGUUUCUCGGCUACGUUGGUAUUUCUGAACCCAUGGAGAAACAUCGGGAUCACUGAUCAGUAGGGCCUCUGUUGCAUUCUGAUCAGGACCCAGGAAUGCAGACAUCACGGCUAGCUGAUCAACCAUGAGGAGAAAAUAAAUGACUUAGAUUAGGGUGCAUUCAUUAUUGUGACCAAAAAAAGUCUACCCGCAAUUCAAUUAUUUAUUGCCUUCUUUGUUCUCAUUCUUAUCUGAAAAGGCUUGAAAUGCAUGCAAUCACAUGCACAUUAGGAAAGAUUAAAGCACCCUAGAAUGACACGUCUAGCAUGGACAUAGCCACAUGGGUAAUGUAGAAUAUUAAGUCUAGUGGUAGAUGAAAUGUGUAACAAAGCAGCAAAAAAAAAAGCAAUGACUUAAAAGAGAUAAAGGCUGUUGCACUCUGAAGUGAAGCAGAGUUCAGGCAGGAGAUCAAAUUUAUGAAAACGUUGAACAUGUCACAAUCACCAUUACUCUUUCACAUUCACUUAUGGUUUACUCGUAUGACUAGAAGCAUGUCUUUCGGGGUGCUUUGUUCAAUUUAUAAGCUAUAACUUGGGUGCAUCACAUAGGGUUUUUAAAAACUAAAGUGACUGAUGAAAACGUAAUUGAGGCACUACCUGACGGGGGCCAAAGCCAAUUGCUUUGAACUUAUCUUUCAUUUCCUGCACGCUUGCUUUCUCCCACAGGGGCACUCUUCCCUCUGGAUCUGGCUCUUCAGUAUCACUUCGUCCAAACUGCCUAUCGAACAAGCCCCACUGUUGGCACAAUAUAACAGAAUCAGAAUCAUAGUGAUUUGCCAACUUGAAUCACAUUUAGUCCUUAAAACCACAAACAUGAGGCAGGAAACACCAGUAAGGGAACAGAUGCUAAAGACCAUGGGACUGCUUGAGAUGGCAUGCUUUUUGUGCAUUUAGGGGUCUUCAACAGAUGAUAUAAUUUUGGCUUAAACAAAAACAAUAACUGUACAACAUAAUAAGAAAAAGACCUGCCCAUUUGAACCGUAUGCUGCGUAUAAUAUACUUCCUUUCUCUUCAUUCCCACCACAUUUUCGAAUAGCCGCUGCUAGAAAAGUAGACUUGACGGCACCUUGAGCUAUACAGAAUAAACAAAUGCUUUAUCAGGUGAAUUAGCAUUACCUGUUUCUCACAUAAUGGAACGCUCAUGCUAGAUGGCCAUGAAAAAAGGCAUAAGUUUAACUUGAAAUAUCAAGCGUUUAUGACAUAUCACCUGCAUAUUGGAUGAGAUCUGCAUAUGAAAUUGGUCCACCCUUGGAAUAUGAAUCAAUUUCUUUCUUGGCUUCAUCUAAUAAACUCACAGCAGCAGAAAGUCCCUUAUUUUCAGGCCUGCUUAACUCUGAGCUUUAGGCAAGAAAAAAGAGAAUAAAAAAUCAAGUUAAUACUUGAAUAAAAAGCUAAACCAAUAAUUCAGUUGAGUCACACUAAAGGGAAGGUUUAACUGUUAGUAACUGAGAAGAAAACCUGUUCAUUAGUAGUAAAUUAGAUUAAAUCGGCAACCAUAAUCUCCAAUUUUUUUUGCGUCGAAAUUUUACACCUUAAAGUAAAGGAAUCCUUAUGUUAUCUAUUCAUCAUGCUCAAAGCAAGAAAUGGGUCAAGAGUAAAUAUUAUAAACCAUAGUGUCAAUACACUAAGAGGCUGCCUUGAAAAGAGCACUCAUCACUUGCCCUCCAGUGGAAUAUUCUACAACCCUCAUCUGCAAAUUGUUUGCACAAUUAACCUCUCUGAUUUCACUUUAUAUAUUUGUAAAGCAUAAAUAAUGACAUAUCUUGCAUAGUUCCUCAGCACAAACUCAUAUUUGGGAUAAUGCAGCUUGUAAAAACUAGAAAACAUGACAUACCUGAAGCGUAUGGAUCCAUUUGGGCCACCAGAUUUUGUAGCCUACAAACUUAAGCAGCAGAAAGUUACUAUUUUCAUUUCCUCUUUUUUUUUUUUUUCCAUCUCAUAGAAAAAAGUGAAGAUAAAUCAUAACAUCCACAAAACCUCUAAAAACAUGUCUUGUUUAUCUGACCUUGUCAUACGUCAUAGCAUCAUUCAGUGCCAAAGUUAAUAUAGAGGGAAUAAGAUCUGGAUUUCCCUGAAAUUCAUAUUUGAAAGAUAACAUUAAGAUAAUGAACAUUGCACGCAUGAUGAACUCAAUGCUAAUCCAUAACUUUAAGUCCACAAACACAAAUGCCAGACUUUACUUUUCAGGCUCUUGAAACCAUGACUUCUUUACAUUUUCCAGAAAUGUGGACCAGGAGCAGGAUAGAGAAAUAUACCUUUAUAGCUUUAGACAGGGUUUCCUUAAUACUUGCUGCACAAUAAAAUUUUGAAAUACAAUUUAGAGUACUGUAGCCAGUUUAAAGUUGAAACUGUACUAGAAACAAGAGAACUCACAGAGAAACUCAGAGCGCUGUCGUCGUUGUAUUAAAUCAGCGGCACUUGCCAUUUCAACCCAUGAUCCUGAGCUUGCUAGUAAUUCCUAAAGACAGAACAAAACUGGCAGAAACUUAUCGCCACAUCGUUCUAAUUCACGGAAGCACACAUUCAUCGUAUGGCACGGUUGAUGGAGAAUUUAUUGUUAUAUAUCUACUUACAUGGCUUUAACGGUUUAAAGGCAAAGAAUUUACAGUACGAACUAGUAGUCAUUGGCUUCCAUUACCAAUCUCAGAAUCGGGGGUGACUGGUGAGUGUGGGAUACGGGGAUGUGUUUGACAUGGAUACAUUCAAUUUUUUCUACAUUUUCGCAUAUAUUUGAGUGUCUGACCUACACACCAUAUCUGUCGGAUAUUUGCUGGACACUGUAUUUCAAUGAAAAUGAAAAGCCAGAACAACAUAGAGUUUCCAAAUAGAAAAAUGGUAAUUCUCGUAAUUAAUUGGAUGAAGAACAGUAACAAAAGUCUUAAGGCCAUAAAAAGGCCGUUAAAUUUUUUUAAAAAAACCACUAUAAAUUGCAAACUACAAUGAAUUGACAGUCUAUUAUGUUCUUUGAAAAAUUCAGGGUCUAAAUAUCAAUUUCUUCCAGCAUCUUCGUGAAUAAUAACUAAAGAAAAAUUGAUGAUGGUAGGAUUACAUAUAUAGAAAGAAUUUGCUCUUACCAUGCCAACUGUUGCCCCAAUGCAUUUGAGGACAUCUCUACGAUGGAAAACAUAUUGGCCGGAAACAUGACCAGUUUCAAUUUUACGACAAGGAAUAGCACCCUGAUAAUUCAAACACAUGAAAACAAGAAUAAAAAAUUAGACAAUGAGUUGCAGUAGCCAUUGGCUCAGACAAUCAAGUUCGAACAACGUAGUCCAUGAGUUAGCAUUUCCCAAAGAAAAUGUUAAAAAUACUUACCGCCCGAGUGAGGUGCCUAUUAGCAGCAACAGAGUUAGAGUUGAGAGAUGGGACAGGGACGAGAGCAACCAAAGAAGGUGUGUUUGAAAGGAAAGAGACCCCCAUUGCCUCUAUGUUCCCAAAUUUCAACCAGUGAAAGAUGUUUUUUUUUUUUUUUUUUUUUUCCGUUUCUUCUUUGCAACUGAGUUUGAAACAGGGAAAAUAAGAAGAGGAUAUGUGACCGUGAGUAAGGGGCCCCGAGAGGAGGGUACGUGUGGAGCAUGCAUGAGAGUCGAUGAUUUUGUGUUAUCCUUGUUCCUCUCUAUCUUCAAUUCCUGAUGGUUGAUUCUUAUUGUGUGCGUGGGCCGACUUCGUUAGAAUUAUAGCAUCCGACCACUCACGGCCCUGAUUGCUAUUCCAAAGCCACAGAAAUUAGAAACGAGUCUGCAUCUGCCUUGGGCUACCCUUGGCCCAGAUCUGGAUCCUACAUACUCUUCGGGUUAAACAACUGACCAAUUACAAUCGGUGUUUAACCCCAGUCCCCACGGCGAGCUCAUCAUGUCUAAAGCGUUCAGCACUUUAAAAUUAAAUGUAAAUCAUCAGAACUCACUUGCAGAAUGCAGGGGUUGCAAAAUGAAAGGGUUAAAAAGAGCAACUUUAAUAUGGUUUCACUAUUAUUUUAAUCAAUUGCCAAAUGAAAUAUCAAUAGAUGGAAGAGAGCAAUUAUUUCUUGAAGAUGCAGUGGCGUACAAUUAUAACGAGCCCAAUGAAUCGCCUAUAGCAUUGUAGAAACCUAGCAGACUUCUCAAGAGCAAGUGAAUUUCCUGGCUUGGGUUUCAUCCUAUACAUGUAUCAAAAUGCAGCCCCUAACCCAUUGUCCUCCCCCGUCUAUGUAUUGAAUUGGAACCAAUUUCCUAAAACUAAAGAUAUACACAGUCCGCGUCCCCUUCUUUUAGUAGCACCGCUAGCUUGAAGAUCUCCAAUUGAUGGAUAACAUUCAAUAAGGAGCUACUAAACAACAACGUAGGGGAUCUUCAAUCAAAGCAAUCGCUCUACAGAAUCUCAUCUAUCUGACACUGAUAGAUGCAUUCACAUUCUGUGAUACCCUCCUGCACAAACAAUCUGGCAGCGGAUUUACAUAAAAGGCUUCUUCUGAACGAAACCUAUCCAUGCCCUUUGUUCCUGAGACAGGACCUCUUCUCCUCCUUGGAGACCCUUGCCUAUACAAUCCACAAAAGAAAUCAUAAGUUAAGGGGAAACCGAAUAUUAUAUAAAUCUAUACUCUUGCUAUUUUAAGUGCAGCAGAACGAGGAAAAUGGAGUCCCCUCCUUCCACAAGCUAGAAUCUGCAGCAUCUAAGCAAUUAACGACAAGAACCACAUACAGUUUUUUGUGGAUUUCAAUAAUCCGAUUGGAAACCUUUCUGCCUUCCUUCAAUAACCCCUUCUCAAUUUUGUCAAACAGACGGAUGAGUCCUUUCCUAAAGGAGAGUACAGAAAGUACACCACAAACGAUUAGAAUAUGAAUCGUAGUUAAGUAACUAAAAAUGAGUUGAGUUUUAGAAAAUAAAUUGACUCACCUGUCAGGAGAAAUAGUUUUCCUAUGUCCCAGAAAACGACGAUGCCCUUCAACUGCUCUCGCCAUGUUUCCAGAGUACGAUGGAAUGAAGACAUCACUUUCAACAGAUACAAUGUAAUCAAGUGCCGCCAUUUGAGAUGCAUGAUUGGUGAAUGGUUCAAGCUCCUCAACAGACGCCAAUUUUUCCUUCAAAAUUUCACAAGAUAUAAGACUACAUUCUAACCCCAUGUUCAUCCUUAUUCCUUUAUAUUGAAAAUAUCAAACAAAAUUAUCAUCACACUUUCACCAGGACCUAUAGAGAUGGUGUGUCCAGUUAUCUGUAUCUACAUACAUUUUUAUUUGCAUUCACACACGAGAAAACCAUAGAGAGAGAGAGAGAGGAGACUGUACAAAACAUCGCAACGAUUAUCCAAAUAGCAACAAAAAUAGUAUCCAAUGGUCAAAGAUCUCAGUCAGUGUUAACUGCUUUCUUCAUAAGUCCAUUACAAAAUUUAGAGAAUAAAAAGGCACAACCAAUCACAAGUGAGAAAUACACAUGACAUACUUGCAUUGGAAAUUUUGAAUGAUAACUAAUUUAAGAACAUAUGGACUAACUGGAUGAAUAAACCAGUAUUAAAGAUCACAAACAGUUAGUCUCACAAUAAUAUUGGAUAAAUCACUGUGCAUAAUAAUCUCAAUAAAGCAAGGUUGACUAUAACUGAAUUUCCAUGAAUGGUAAGUUUCAAAUGUUUAAAAUUUUGUUUCUUCACUACUGGCCCUGUGAAAAAGUUCCCUAAAUAAACCAUAGCAGCAUAAUCAGUUGUAUAAAGGAGCACCAAGCAAAGAAUGGCACCACUCCCUACCUUACUCAUUAAAAUGGGAUAGCGAGACUGUAGAUCAGCCAUAUGAGUAUCACCCCCAUAUAUCUCUCCAGCAGCAAUGUAUAUAGGGGUGUUUGACGGGUAUCCAAGAGCAGUGAGAAAAAUUCCGACCUCUUUUGGGGUUAAGGGGCAAUAUCCUUUGGAUCUCUGCUCCCUGGCAUCAAUGUCCUUGAUUUUCCAAUAGACAGUGUUUUCUCUACACAUUCAGAAAGUGGUAUAACAAAGAGUUGAUCACUUAUCCAAUUUACACUUCUCAUAUUGUUCUCUAUAUCAUAUCACAUACAUUAGAAAACAAUGUUAUAUUGUUAUACUACUCUAGCUUUCCACUCUCUUUCAACUUCCACUGGAUAUAUAUAUAUAUAUAUAUAUAUAUAUAGAAAGCUUGCUAACUGUUAUACCUGAUUGUCUUUAGCUCUUCAGCUUCAACAUUAGAUAAACCAUGUGUGCAUCCACUAAAGGCAAGCAUGUCUUUCUCAUACCGUAAAUGCAAUGCAAUAAAAGGACCAUAAGACCUCAUUCGUUCCACCAACAACUGCAAUAUCAACUUAAUAAGUAUGAUGAAUAUAGAAAAACAUACCAAAGACUGAAUUGAUAUUCAGGUCAAACUAAUUACUUUCCCCAUUGCUUCAAUUUGGGGUGCAAAACGAAGUGCUUCAUAGCAAGCACGACAACGAAGCUUCUGUAUAUCUGGAGGGAGAUUGUUAUUUGCUAGACGAGAAUCAGAUUUAGCAGCUCGAAUAAUCUGGUAAAAAAGGAGAAAAUGAGCAUUUGAUAGAGUACUUUCAUCAGGAAAAUGAAAAAAACCAGUUGGCAAAAUAAUCACAAUAAAGUCGACAGCAAACAAACCUGAUAUUCUUCCCACAGGGUAGCUAUCUCAUCCUGGUAGUACUCCAAACCAGACCAGCUUCUAAAAUGCUUAACUACUUUGGCAGCUGAAGACAAUUCCUUGGGAAGCUUUUUUAUGACUUUAACAUCAUUAGCCAGAGAAUUAAUAAAAUGGUCCUCAUCAAAAACAUCAGAGAAAUUGCUGCAAGUUAACAAAGAAGCAUGAUAUCAGUCAGAAAGAAACUCAGCCAGAGAUAGAAAGUAGUACUACUUUUGCAAAGGAUAUUACUUGAAGGAGAAAGGCUACCUAGUAUCCUGCCAAAAUGAUCGUUUAUCGAGUUCAGGAACUACAAGAGUGGCAUUUAUUAUGCGGGCUACAGCUACCAUGUCGCAUAUCUGCAAUCCAAGAAUGAGACUGUAGUCAGCUAAAUAAUCAAGAAAAACUGAUAUUCUAUUGGAGUACAUAUUACAAUGGCUAUAUUGCCAAAAUUUUAAUCAGUGAACUUGAACACAUGUAGCCUUUUAAUCUUUCAGUAUCAUCCCGUAACUACAGGAAAUGUAAUUAAUAUUAUCAUGGACAAUCAUGCAUGUAUCUGUUGGAGAUCAGAUAUCUCAAUGUCUUUAUUUCCGUCAGGGACUGUGGCUGGUGACAGAAUACAUCACACUUGAAGGUAAUUGGAACCAGUGCGAAGUUGUAGGAGUAUUCGACAUAUUUCAACAUACAAAAGAAGUAAGCCAAAUUCAAAAUCCCAUCAUAAGAGGAAGAAACCAAGUAAGAUCAAGCUUAUAGAAAGAAGUAGCAAACAAGCGUGCAAGUAAUAUAGUCCCAAAGUUUGGUAGAAGACUAUGUUUCUUCCAAUCAAUUAAUACUAACAAGUUUCACAUUACCCAAGCAUGGGCACCAAAAUAUAACAGAUAUGGCCAGCAUGAAUAUUAUGAAACUAGAAUUCAACCAUGAAGAGGAAAGAAGAUACAGACCCCAGCUCGCAUUUGGUUGAGCCCACCAUUUGUAUGAACCAGAAGGUAACCUCUUGACUCAUCAGGGGCUAAAGAAACAAUGAUAAGUUGAAAAAUCAGUCUACAAGUAUUUAAUAGAUACCUUGAAAAGGAAACUAAAAAUUAACAACUUCCUUACCUGUAUAAUUAGAACUAGGCUGUACGCAGGGCACAAAAUCACGAUUUGCAGGCGGCUUCCACAACUUUUCAAAAUCCAGAUUUCCACUGGCACCAUUCAACUGUCAAUUCUAAAGGAGUGAAAACAUGAAAGAUGCAUGACUACUUUGCAUCAAUAUAUGUACCUACUUGACUUGAACCACAAAUCCACAAUCCUCAUCACAACAACAAGAAGAAGCUAGCAAGCUAAAUAGACGGUAAAUAAAUCAACUCUCCCAAAAGGGAUUAAGAAGAAUUUUUAAACAACCAGUCAACUCUAUACUGAAAUGGAUUAAAGAAAACAAGAAGGACACAAUGUAAAGGAAUAUAAUCCAAGAAUAGCCACUAUUUUUUUUACCUUUUUUUUUUUUUGGUUUUCUUAUAGUUACAUUUUCUGAGAAACCAAACAGGUUAUACACUAAAUGAAGAGAAAACGCAAAAACCUUGUGAGAUGAAGGAGGAGCUUUGGAAAGAUGCGGCGGGGCCUGCUCUUUCGAUAAAUGGGGCGGAGCCAGCUCGUGCGUCCACUUUUUCUCUCUACUUAACUUUUGGUAAUUAAAUUCACGUUGCUACAAAAAUGGAAAAUUUUAAUGAAAUCAAUACGCAAAUCAUAGCAGAAAAAUAAAUAUUUAAAAAAAGAAAGAAAAAUCCACAUUAGUAGUAUACCUACCAAAAGAAUAAGAUCAAAUUUACAAAAAUUUAAAAAAAUUAUGGAAACAAAUCAUGAAUAAAUUUUAUUUUCUGGGAAGUAAAACAUAUAAGGCAAUGGGAGAACACGGAAGCUUCGAGAGGGAAAUGAAGGAAAAAGAGAAAACCCUAAAUCAAAGAUAGAGAGAGAUACUUGAGUGAAGGUAGGGAGCUUGUAAAGAUCAGAGAAGUCGGAGACUCUAGAAGAAGGGAACACGUGCACGUGGCCGGAGAGCAGUCCUACCAACGCUAUUGUGCAUGUGGCGCACAUUAGGACCUUCCUCAGCAGCACCACCACUCUCCGCCUCCGCCUCUGCAUCUUUUCUUCUUCCUCCUAAAAGAACAAAGAAAACAAGAGCACCGUUUCUUCUUCUUUUUGCUAGAAAGGAACAGCCGAGAAACAAUGUCGACGCACCGCCAUUAUAAGGAAGCGAAUAGCAGAGAAUCAAAACCCCAACUCACGCUUUUUUCGGUUUCUCUUUGCCUCUGCGUUGGCGAGAGAAAGCAAAAGCCAUCGGCUCUGUUUUCUUUUUUUUUUUUUUCCUAUUAUUAUUACUAUAUUUGGGUUUUAGUUCUUGCCUUUGUUCUUUGUUGGUGCCUCUCUGUCGCUCUAGAGCUUGUGGUUGGCUUAUAAAUAAAUAGAAUUUUUGGUUUGUAGAUAUGAGGAAUAAAUAAAAUAAUUAAAUAAAUUCGUUUAAUAAUUGAAAGAGAAAAUACGAGGGUAAACUUGAGAUUUCAAGUUAAUAUAACGCUUUUAAAAAGUUAUAAGAUUAGUCUCUAACCGGGAUUCGCUUGGUGGGGCCCAAUAGUCAAAAUACGUUUAAAUGUAUUCGUACAAAUUAUAAAACUACCUGAAUCUCAUUAAAAGAAUGUAACAGUUGGGAUAGGAAAUUGUUUUUCUACUCAUGUUUGAAGAUUGGGGAGGAUUUUGGCCUCCAAUUGCAUCAUGAGUUGUAUUUCAAUAGCACUCCAUAGGUGAGUAGUAUAAAAUUAAAAAAUAAAAAAAAAUUUAUGUAAUAAUUUAUUAUUAUAUUUAUAUUGAAACACAUAUUUACAUUUUUAAUUUUAAUUUUAUCAUUAAAAUUUUAAUUUUACCUCCUAUCCAAAAUCCAAAACUUAAAAAAAAAAAAGUAUAUCCCCUUAUUAAUAAAAUGUAGGCACAGACAGUAAUUUUUAAUAUUUGUGAAUUUUGGAUAAGUUAUAACGUCAGUAAAAUUAAACUUUUUACUCACUUACCCAUUUUGGUGGUUAAUGGGCCAUCCAAUACAUGCGGAAAAAUUUGCGGGUGGAAUUUACUGAUAUUGGGUUAAGAGUUCGAUGUAGUCAAAAUUCUUUUACUAUGUCUGAAUUAAACAAAUCAAAAUAGAAGUAGUAAAUAUUAAGUAAUGGAUAAUAUGAAUAAUUAAUGCUAUAUUAUGUUAUUCAAAAAUUAAUUUGGAAAUGUUACUACAAUUCUCUAUGUUCCAAUUAGCUUUCAGGCUUGUUUAAGAUAAAUGUUUAUUAUGCAAUAAAAUUUAUGAUGACGCAAACAAAAAAUAUGGAAGAGAGUGAUGAGGUUUUGACUUUGCUCCUUACAUUAAUUAGUUAGCCUCGUUCAUAAACUCUAAAUUCUAAAACCAAAGUAACAAAGGCUGCAGAAGGAGAGGACGGGGAAUGGACGGUGUGGAUCUCAAGAAGAGAAUCAUGUGCCCCAAAAUUAAGGAUUUGAACGAGUUAGGAAGAAAAUUUUAGAUAGAAAUUUUUUAAUUGAAUUUUGUGAUUUUUUUUAGUAUAAAUGAUUUAAUUAAAAUGUAAAUAAAAAAUUUAUAUUAAUAAAUUGAUAAAGUUUAAUAAAAAUAUUAUUAAAAAUAUUAUUUAUAACAUAAAUUUGAUUAGUAUUUAUUAAACAAUAAAAGUGUUGUCAAAUUUUUUAUUUAAAUUAAUUAUUUAAAAUAUAUAUAUCAAAUUUAUUAAAAAUUUAAAUAUUACAUACACUUAAAUAUAUAUAAUAAGAUUUUUUAAUCUAUAAAUUUUAAUUUUAAUUUUAAUUUAAUUAUUUUUAAUUAAAAACUGCACAAACUUUAUCUAAAAAUUUUUAUUUAAAUAUUUUCAUUAAUUAAGAAUUUAUUUAAUUUGCUAGGUUCACUCCAAUUGGUAGAAGGGUCAAAGGAAAUCAGAGAGGAGAGAGGGAGAGAGAUGGACUCACGUGAAAAGGGUUAUGGAGUAUCAGGUGUUUUAAUCUGAUACCUGAGAUUUAUAAAUAAAUACAAAAACAAAAUGAAUGUUAAAGGACGUUGCCGUUAAGGGGGGAGGUCCAAAGAGUUUCUGGACGGAGGGAUACAAAAAAAUUUAUUGAAGACGACGAUAAUUUGUAGACUCGUGGGGUUUCAGGCCUUUAGCCUAUUAGGUCGUUUUUUUUGCUUCGAACAAGUUGCUUUCAAAUUCCCGUGACACUUCCUCCGACUUUUGGUUCACUUUUGUUCAACGCGACUUGCUCGUUUUAGCACCGUUGAGACAUCGAGGGACCAUCAUCUCAUGGUUGUGGCAGCGCCUCCCCAGCUGACCAUCAGCUUUUAUCUGAAAUUUCUAAUCCGUGAACCAAUCAAGAAUGCCGUCCUUAUCACAUUUUUUAAUUUGAGAUAUCAAAAUUUAAAUUUUAAUCAUUAAAAUUAAAAUUAAAACUUUUAUAUUUUAUCGUUAGAUCACAAAGGUUAGUAGCUUUCUUGUCAUGUUUACUUUCACUAUUUGUCUCGCUCAGAAACAUGGAAUCAUGGGGAUUCACUUCAUUCCCCCUCCUUACCUUUUAUUCUACUCGGUGUGGGAUAUGGCAAUGCUGCUAUGUUCCUCAUAAAAUCACCAUGGAACUGACCACUUAUGUUAGAAAUUGGCCAAAAAUGAACCAAAACAGCUUGCUUGAUCAAUUAGUAAUGUUGCUCUAGGCUAUUGGUGAUUGCAAAUGUUCCCAAUUCUGUAUUUCUUGAAUGCAGAGAUUCCCCCCUCAUUAGCACGACUAUUAAUAGAGUAGCCUUUGAAAAGUUUUAUGAUAGAUUGCUAAAAAUAGUUACAUACAAAAUCACAUUCCGUGUGUAAUCGGGGUUUUUUUUUUUUUUUUUGAAUUAUUUUAACAUUGAAAUGUAAAAAAAUAGAUUAGAGUACAAUAAUAAAUCAUAAUUUUUUAAUUAAUAACAUAAAAAUUUAUGUUUAAAUAAGUAUUAUAAUAAAAAAAUUUUGGUAUAUUAUUAACUUAUAAUUUAUCUUAUUUUUUAUUUUUUGGUUGGAGACUCUUAAGAGAAUAGGUACGAAGGCAAUGUAACUUGUAUUAUUGAGCCGAGUAAGUUAUUAUAAGCCUGAUUUGAUUCAUGCGUAUUUAUAUUAUCUAAUAAAUAUGUUAAAGUUAAAUCAUAUUAAACACUAAAUACAUUUAUUUGCAAUUAAUUGAAUUCGUUAUUAUCAACAGAGCAAAUGAUUGAUUCGAUUAAUUCAAUAAAAAAAAUAUAAAAACUGACUAAACUGAUUUAAUCUUAUAAAAAAUUCGAAUCAAUGAAUUAAUAAGAUAAAUAUUAAAAUUAAACUGACUUAAGUUGGUCGAUUUCAUCGGUUUUACUUAGAGAUAUGUUACAAAAUUAAAAUCUACUCAAAUAUUCCUUCCAAUAAGCGACAAAAUGCCUUUCAAAAUUUAGCUUGAACCAUAAUUUGCUAAUUGCUAUGCAUUUAUAACUUUUUUACAUGCAUAGUUUUUUUAACAGUAUAGAGCAAAAAACAAAAGAUUAAAACCUCUUUUUAACAAAAUCUAAGGUCUUAAUCAUGUGCACCGACAACCACAAAGAAGAGAAUCUUAUUACUGUUUUUGCCACAAUACCAAUAAAUCAAGAGAAAGUAGAUGUUGCAAGGUGAGAGAGUGUGCGCUACGUGUUGAAGUUGCAAGGUGAAAAAUCAUCCUUUAAAGCUAAGAGCUUGCUGACUGGUUCCUAAUGGUGUUUCACAAAGGAGGUUGAGCAACAACCGAAGAGGGGCACAAAGGUUGAGAGGGUGGCUUUGGGCUUUUCAGUCAUCACUGGUGGCAUCUAAAAGUCUGGCAUGAAUGUGAAAGGUGGGAAGAGAUAUGAGAUGUGUCAACAAGGAAGUGUGAGGGAGAAAGAAAGGAAAAUGCAGAAUUUAGAUUUUAAGGUUUUGUAAAUAGGGUAUUAGGAAAGGGUAAACGGGUAUCUGUUUAAUUGAAAAAAAUCAAAAUAAUUUAAAUUUAAAUAAUAUUUUAUUAAUUAUUAAAUCAUUAAAAUUUGAUUUUUUCAUUUCGGUCUGUUUGAUUCGUAGUAUUCAAAACUGUAAAUUGACCGAAUAAACUGUUUAAACCGAUUACAAAAUCGAUUUAAUUUCUUAAACCAAAAAAACCGAAUAACUUUAAUUCAAUGAUCAGUUUAGGGUCAGUUUGUGCCGAUUAUUGCUCUCCCCUAGACAUAAAUUCAUACAUGAUUAAGUUUUAUUAUUUUAAUACUAAAUAAAUAAUAUGAUUUUCAGAGUUUAAAUAAAAUUUUUUUAUGUGAUCUUAUUUUUCAAAUCAAAUGUAUCUUUAAACAUUAUUUAUUUGAGUUUAAAUGGAAGUUCAAUUGUUGAUUUUAAAGCGAACUUAUUCAUUUUGAAUUCGAUAUAAUUUUGAUAAUAUUUGUUUUGAGAAAUAUAUUAACUUAAGAAAGUUAUUUUAUAAGAACAAAAAUUUCAACAUUGAAUUUGUUUUAUUUUUCUGUAUUAAUUAACAAAGCUUUAAUAUUUGAAUUUUAUAAGGUGAAAAAGUUCAUUGAAUCUACUUUUUAAUGGAUUAAACAAAAUCAAAAUUUAAAUUUUUUAAGAAAAUAUUUAAAAUUUUUACUAGACAUUUUGAAGUUGUCUAAAAAUUGCAUUAAAGGUAGAUUUAAAAAUUUACUAUAAUUCGUAUACAAUGAAUUAGGUAAUAAAUUUAUAUGGAUAGAAAGCUCUUUAAGUUUAGUUUCUAAAUCUUUAAACGGUUUUUUAAUUUGGAUUUGUAUAACUCAAGAUAUAAUCAAAUUAAUAAGUAUAGUGCAAAAUAGGAGACAACCAACCUACUGGACAAGAUCGAUCCCUUUAAAAAGGGAUCGAUUGGUUUUUUUAUCCAUAAUAAAAAUUUUACUCUGGGAUUUGAAAAAGGAUUGAUCAUCCAGAUUAAGAGAUCGAUCACCUGAAAAAGGAUCGAUUGGUACCAAAAGGAUUGAUCUUUUAUGCCAAGAAUGCUCCAAUAGCUAGUUUUUCAAGCUUCAAUGGGUAUUUUCAACUCUAAACCAUCCCUAAAUGGCUAGUUUCUCAUUCCUCUAUAAAUUGGGCAUUCCAACAUACCAAAAAGGUUAAUAAAUCAAUAAAGUAAAAACCAACAAACUAUAUUUUGUUCUCUCAAAGAAUCAAAAGUUGGUAGAACUUAAAAUCUAUAUCUUUUGUAUUUGUUGUAUCUAAGCUAUAUUGUGUUGUUUAAUUCAUCAAAUUUCUUUGUACUUCAUUAGGCAAACACUUAGCCUUUGAGUGAUGUUUUAAAUUUACAUUUUUAUUAAGUUGUUUUGUAAUUAAGAGGUGAAGUAUUAUCUUGAAUUUGUGAGAUUAAAAGGUUGCUACUUAGCUUAGAAAGUAAAGAGUGUUAGGUUGCUAUCUAAGUCUUAAGAAAAAGAUAGAAUUGUAAUUUCAAUUCAAGAAUAGUGAAUUAAAGUCUUAGUGUGGACAACUAAGAAGAGAGGACGUAGGUGCCUUGUAAAGAAUGAUCGAACCUCUAUAAAUCAUUGUGUUUGAUUUUUCUAUCCCUAUCUUUUUACUUUGGAUUUGGUUUAAGAUUAUCAAUUUAUUGUUAUUUGUAUUAUAUUUUGAUAUUGGUUUUUAUUUCUAUUCAAUUCUAUUAAAAUCUAGUUUUGAGAAAGAAUUUAGAGAGAUUCAAUUCAUCUCCUCUUAGAUUACCAUCUCAUCUAAAAAGCUAACAAUGUCAAUAUGUCAUAAAAAUAAAUAAUAAAAAACAAAGUAUAUGUAUAUUAAAUAAAAAUAUUACAUAUAAUUCAUAAACAUAUUUUAGAUUUUCUUUCCGAACAUUGCUUGAUGCAAAAAAUUUCAAAAAAGAAAAUGAAUGAUAAGUUCAUUAAAGGCAUAUAGGAUUACAGUAGAAUUACUUGUUAAUACAAAAUACUAGCUGAUUCCAUGACGUAGAAGCUAUACAUAAGUUGUCAAUAAUAGAUAAAAUUAAGUGGGGUUUGGAUUUCACUACACUUUCAAUGUGAUGCAGUUGAGCUCAUCGCACUAUCAAUUGAACUCAAAUACUAAUUUCGUGAGGUCCAUUCAACAUAUAUUUUUUUAUGAAUUUUUUUUCAAUCAUAGUCAUAAUAAUUUUUUUCAAAUGCAACUAUAAUAAUUCUUAUUAUUAUUUUUGAUUGCAUCGAAAUCAAUCUUAUCAUCCAUCUAAAUAGACUAUGAAAGCACAAAAUAAAAAGCUUUUAACAAUUGUAUUCCCAGUGAUCAAAACUGCAUCCUUGUUUAUGGGUGUCAACGACUAAUAUACACUUGUUUAUGGGUUGGAUUAGACUUAAUACAAUUGGUUUUUACAAAUUUACUCAAGGAACGGUCCAUUAGAUUCAAUUUGUAGACAAUUAUAUAUAUAUAUAUAUUAAAAUAUUAUUAUUUUAAAUUAUUUUAAUAUAUUUUAUAAUUAAUUUAAAUUUUAAAAUUUAUUAAUUAAAUAAUAUUUUGAUUUGAGUUUGGACUCAAAAAUCUUAUUUAAGAUUUAAGUUGAGUUGAAUGGAGCUUAAUUGAUCGAGUAGCAACCCUUAAAUAGAUUUAGUCUCGCUUUAACUUACAAAUUAUUGUCCAAAGCUUGACUUGAUUCGUUUCAAAACAUAACUCAACCUGUUGAUAAAUCUAAUUAUGAAUUUAACAUUGUUAAAUAUGUAUUAAAAGCUCAUUGUAAAGAGGAAUUUUAAAGCAUGAAAUGAGAUAAUGCGGAUUUGCUACUUUCUUUAUAUUUCAAAAGAGAAAUUUAAAGUUAUAUUAUUCAUUUUAUUUAUUUUGUGAAUAAUUAUAUUUAAAAUUAUUAAUAUUUAAAUUUUAAUUAUUAAAAAUAAAAUUAUAAUAAUUUAUUAUCAGAUCAUGCAAUUAUUGACUAAGGAUUAUCUUCUUUUCUUCGUUUUAUUAUAAAUAUUUUAAUUUUAAAAUAAAUUUGAAAGACUUCUCAACUGAUGAUGAAGAAUGAAAUAAAUACAUUUUGUGACCUAAAAAAUUGACAUUUAAAUGAGAAUUUUCUCAUUAAUUUUGAAGUCAAAAUCUUCUUUAAAUUUGUUAUUUUCUUUGUUUCUUAAAUUUUAUAGCCGGCAUUUUUUAACAAAAUUAUUUUUUUCAACAAUAUUAAUUUGAAAAUUAACCGGAAGAAAUCUUAUAGUGAUAAUAUGUGAAUAUUAAGACUUGACAAGUUUCAUCGUGGUCGAAACUUGUUAACCAUUGCACGUAAUUAUGGCUACUGAUGAUGUGUUGUCCUUACUCUUUACUAAUUAAUUUGUAGUUUUAUAUUUGGCCAAGAAUAAAUUUCGAAUUGACAGUUGUGGCGUGAGAAAUAGGUAAGGAGUCGCACCUCAAGAAAGCUACGUGGCAAGCAAUUGUGUCGACAGCUGAAGGGAAUCCAAUUACAACGAUCUAUUCAUGCCAACUGUCAAAUAUGCAGUUGUAUUUUCAGAUAUAAAUGUGGCAGCUGAUUGUUGCAAGUUUUAAUAAUAGAUAAUGUCAUUAAUUAAAUUAAAUUAAAUAUUUUAAUAAUUUUUAAAUUUUAAAUUUUUUUAUAUGACAUUUAAAUUAUAAAUAUAUUAAUUAAUAUAAUAUUUAAAAAAUUAAUCAUAUUAAAAAUAAAUAUAACAUUAAUUUACAUAUUAAUAAUUCAAAUACUAAAUUAAUUAUUUUUAACAUUUAAAUAUUAUAUUUGCUAUAAUGUACAAAUUCGUAAACCUACCGUUAGAUAUAAUUUUAAGAGUUAUUAUCAAUUUUUUUUAUUUAAAUGCUAUUGCUCACUUUACCGAAUCUGUCUCAUUUAAAAAAAUUUUAAAAUUAAUUGAAGUAUUUUUAAUAAUAGAUUAUGAUCUAAGAAAUUAUAUUUUAAGUUUAAAAAUGUAAUUAUGUGUGAAAAAAGUUAUAGCACAUUCACAGCACCCAUCCAAUGGAUAGUAUCAGUUUGAUUUCAAAUUAUCUAAACCUUAAAAUAUUCUUAUAAUUUUUUAAAUCAUUUAAUUAUUAAAAAUUAAUUAUAAAUUUACUCAAAUAGAUUGAUAGUAAUUUAAGAUAACUUCUUUACUUCAUGAGUAUUUAUAAAGAUUAAUGUCUCACUCUGAAGAGGUUCUGUUAUCAAAUUUAUUAAUAUAUUUUAUUCAAAAAAAUAAUUAGUAAAAUCUUCAAAUAAUUUAGUAAGAUUUAAUUUAAUAUGUAAAUUCUCCAAUUAUUUUGUAAGAUCAAAACAAAAUAUUUUAUUAAUAAUAAUUUUUUAUAAAAAUUGAUUUAUAAAAUUUUUUAAUAAUUUAGUAAAAUUUAUAAAAAUUUAAAUUCAUAAAAAAUUUUCAAAUAGUUUGAUAGUAUUCAUAAAUUUAUUUUAGAAAUAUUUUUUUGGUUAUUAUUUUUUAAUAAAUAAAUAAAUUAAUUAAAUUCAUAAAGACAUUUUAAAAUAAAUAAUAAAAUUUUUAAUUUAAAGUAAUGAGUAAAAUAAUAAUUAUAGAUAAAAUUAAGAAUAAAUAAAAAAAAUCUAAAAAUAAAUCGGGUGCUGUACGCAAGCGACGUGCGGAUUCCUGUGUAUCCUAGACAAGUUAAGGAAUCCUAAAACGGCAUCGUUCCAACAUUGUAUAAAAAUAAAAAUUUUCUAUUUUUCUCAAACCAACCUAACUCUCUCUCUUUUUGAACAGAUUAUCUCGUACCCCUCUUUAAAGCUCACCGAGAAAUUCAAAGGAACGCUGAAAACGAUAAAGAAAAAACCAAAAAACAAUGGGAAUCCUAGAUUCCGACCACCAAAAAUAUCAAUUUUAUCAGAUGAUUCAAGUGGUUUUUCAGAAAAAACACAGUAAUCUAAAACUAAAAAAAAAUUUUAAAAAAACACUCCACUCCGAAAAUUCAACCCCACCUUAAAGAUCAACCUAGAAACUAUACCAAAAUUUCAAGAUCCAAAAAAUAAAAAUAAAAAUCCUAGAGCAAUCCCAAAAAAAAUAAGCCUUUUUACGCCACAAAAAUGCAAUAUCCUUUUAUUAGUGUUCUCCAAUCUCUCAGUGUAUCUUUGCGUGAUUUUUGGGCACAAUUUAUAAAAAAUUUUAGAGAUUUCAUUCAAUGACAAAAAUUAAACCCAUCUCAAAUAGAUUUGACCCAUUUAUUAUCUGAUUCAUUCUCUUUAUUGAUAUUAUCGUGUUUUGUGAUUUGAUUUUGAUUUUAUUUAGGCUAAAUUUUUGGGAUUGAAUCCCAAAUAUCAAAUACUUGAUUUUUUUAAAUUCAUUUGUUAAUAUCUUCUUUUUUAUUUUUUAUUAAUUAUCAUUUUUUAUUAAGACAAUAAACCAAAAAUAAAACACCAAAUAAACCUAUGUUUAGGCUUAAAGCCUAAAAUCAAUUCAAUACCCGAUUAUUCAAAUCCAAAUCCAAUAUGAGAACCAACGAGACCUCCCAAAGCCAAAUAAUUUUGAUAAAAUCAGAAUUGAGGAUUCACAUGCCCCAAACGAAACAACAUUAAAUAUUUUUCAAUUACACCUCUAAUGAGAUAUAAUUAAACUCUAAUUAUCAUCAAUUAAAUUUAAAUAUCAAUUUUAAUAAAAUUUAUUCAAUAUAAAUUUUACUUAAAAAUUUUUUAAUCACAAUUACAUUAAUUAUUAUUAUUAUUUUUAAUUUUAUCCAAAUUAAUCUCGCUACACUCAUAGUCAAAAAAGAACGGGAGGCACAAGCACAUGCAAAAAGACCUCAAACCCAAAACUGUACGGAGUUCCUUUUGGCUAGUUGAACUAAUUUAAAACUUAAAAAAGCAUUAUUACAUUAGUAUCCAAGACAAGACGUGCUUCAAGCAUUACAUAUUCACUAAUGUACUUUUCAAAAUGUGUCCAAAGAGAUGACUAUGGAUCAUAUAGUGCUAUUGGAUAGUUUAGUCAUGAUCACCUAGUUUGACACCAAAAUGUCUAGCUUUCUGAAAUAUACGUACAUAAUGGGAAUUCAUCGUGAUUGAGCGUGAUCGAUGUUGAGAUGUGUGAAUAAUGCCGAGAGUUGAUUAGUUGAACAUCAACUCCAUUAAUAUCAUCAACAUUUCAGCACCAUGACUAUUGGAAAUCUAAGUCCAUAUCAUGACACCCGUAAUGCACAUGUUAAGUCUAGCCUACGCUUACCUCCUGUUUUGAAAUGUAUAUUCAUCAUCCAUUGGUGAUAGAAUUUUAAAUGAGAGAAAAUAACAAUUGGAACAUAGAUUUCAGCAAAAUGAAGAAACACUUUCCUCGUACGAUGAGACAAAAAACAAAAAAUGACUAGUAGUCAACUACUGUGCACGCAAGUUAGGGGGUAGUUGGAACUUGGAAGUAUUGGAACGUUUUGCAUUUUUAGUGGGAAUUAAAUUGACCCAUUAAACACCUAAAUGAUUGGAAAGCACAAAGGUUUCGUACCCCAUUUUGUUUCGCGUAUUUGAAUCAUUGGUUGGAUGUUUAGAGGGUAGCAAACUGUUUCACUUCCCUAGCUCAACCAACCUUGAUUACACAAUAAACAAAACAAUAAAAGAAAACGCAUUUACAUUGAAGGAAAAGUAAUUGAGAAAGGAAAGCAAAGGAAACGAAAGGGGAUGGAACUUUUUUUUUUUUUUUGUGGGCCUUUUAAUUUCAGGCAAGUGGAAACUGAAAGUGGCAAGGAAGGGUGUGAGUUAAUAUCAUUUUCGGUGAAACUUCAACGUCAACUUUUAUGAGUGUUGCAUUGCCCGUUUAACAGCCAAUUGUAAGCAAUCAGCUUGUUUUUUUGGGUUGGGAGUUGGGACCAUUUCACUGUAUGACUUUGACAUAAUGCUUUCUUUGACAAUAGAAUGUGGUUUUUCGAGCCUGUUUUGUUGGGCUUGAGAUAAUUCUGUAGCUACUUAGUAACGAAGGGUUGUGUGAAUCGAUUUGCCUCCUUACCGAGUCAUCAGCUAGGACAGCAGAGUUCGUUAGUGACGGUCCACUUAGCUGAGAUGCUGCCCAACAUGGAUUCCGACUUUGCCAGGCUAGAGGUCCAGGGGCUAGCAGGCUCACAAUUUUCAACCCAUAUUUAUUUUGACUUCUUGGUUUAGGCGGCCUAUUCUAAACGUCAGGACUUGAAUUAGUGCCCGGCAGGCAUACAAUUCUUCCUCCAACGACUUUACUGAAAGAUCUUAAUUCGUGCUUAAAAAAUGGGGUUCUGAAAAGCUUAAUUCGUCAUCAACUAGAAUCAAAACUAAACCAUUUUCUUCCUAUAUGAAAUUCAUUUUCAUUCCCACCAAAUCCAUGUCUGGUACGGAGUAUAAUAUUAUAGUAGUUAAAAGACUUUCAGGCAGAAACAAACAGAAAAACAACUAAACAAAAAAACCAGACAGAACCAAGGAAGACAGUGAUUGCAAUGGAUCAAACUAUUGAGCCAAAUCUGAUGCGGUGUCACCUCUGAUGAUCACGUGAAAUGAAUCUGUCACAGACGAUUAUGAAUAAUAGCUUAACCGCAUCUUACGUGAUAUUCCCAAUGUGGUAGGUUGAUAGGAUAUAAAUUUGAUUCCAAACCUAUUAGCUUCAAAUUUAUUGGUUAGUUAUGACGGUAAUAGCUUUAAAUCUAUUAGAACUUGCUUAACUUUGGCAAUUUAGAAUAUUGAAAUCUUGACAUCUUCUUGGUAUGUAUGUAUGUUAGAAACUAAUUUCAGCACAUGAUACAAGAUAAUAUAUACUAAUGUUACUAAUAUAUACAAGAUAUUAUAUGUUGGACUUUUAGUUCUAAUGGUUAUGGUUCAAUCCUUCAUAGCUUUAAGCAUAAAAAAAUUAUUUGACAAAAAAAGAAAAUAAAAAAUCCUCAAAAGAGCAAGAAACAUCACAUAUAUAUUAAUUAUUGAAUCAAAUAUUCGAUAUUCAACUAAUUUAAUGUGAUAUUUGCUAUAAAAAAUGUAAGAAAAUAUAAUUCUGUUUUGGGAUUAAUUGGGUUCACCAAUGAUCACUAUCCUUCCUCUUAUUUAAAGGCAAUUUACCAAUAACAAACUAUUUAAUCAUUUAAAAUUUUAUUCAAGGAGUUUGAAUGCAAGUAAUGUUCAUAUUUUUGUAAGAUGGUUGAAUUAGAGUUUAUUUCUAAAAGAAUUAUUAUCGUGAAAUAAAAAAAAAAAACCUACUAAUACAAAAAAAAUUUGAUUAAUCAGUAUAAGGAAACAUUGACUUCUGUAAUCUUCUUUGAUCUUUAAAAUGGAAAUUUCAAGCUUCAUUGAAAUGUAAACCCACCCUUGUCUCUCUUGAUAAAAAAGGUAAACAUAUACUAGUAAAUAGCGUCUGUGUUGGCCUAAAAAUGAGGAAGCAAAGUAUAUCCUUAAUUCUUGCUGCUGAAGAAGACUGAUUCAAAGUGUUUAAACUUAACAGGUUCCCUGAUCAAAUUUGUUAACUUAAAUCUCAUCAUAAAAGAUUUUGACUUUGAACUUCCGGAAAUUGCCAAGAAUUUGAUCUCUUCUUUUUUUUUUUUUUGUGCCAGACAUGUCCAUAUAUAUAUAUAUAUAUAUAUAUAUUACUAAUUUCUUGUACCACAUAUACGAAGUUGCUAAGAACUUAAGACAUAUUGUUUUCUACUAGCUGUCAACAAAGGCUUUUCUACUUUUGAGUUGAUAAGUAGUAGGUCCUAAAAUAUAAAUCAAAAGUAUAGUUAUGUAUAGUUGAAGAAGCUUGAAUCUUUGAAUUUUUUGGCAAGGCCAAGAAAUUUCUUGGAUGGAGAGAUCAUGCAUGUACGACAGGGCCAUUUAUAUAUAUGGUCAGCCCACAGCUUGUGCCGCUGAUUAAUCAGACUAGGGUUUUGCCAGAAUGUUUUUGCUGUAAUAUGUGGAACAACGUUUCCUUCACAAACGGCAAGCAAAUGAAAACAAAACCAAUUGAUUCUCUAAUCUUUUUCCUUGCCAUUCCACUAAGAAGGAACAACAAAAGAAUUAAACAAUUUCGUACCAUAAAAGUUUCUGAAACUACAAUACCUUAUUUUUGUCAGCACUUAGCAGGUAGAGACAGAAACAAAGAGCCGAUCUGCUUACAUCAAUCAACAUACAAAGAUGUAUAUACACAAUACAUUUAACAUGUAAUUCUGCUUAAUGUUCUUUUUUUCUUCUUCUGUUUUUGUAUAAAUUUAGAAGUGCUCAUGCUUGGAUCAACAAUGAUAGGCUCCUCGGACUAGAUUUGCUUAGAUUAAUUAAAAAGUUUGUUGGACUCUAAUCUAUCAAGGAAACUUAUGCAUGAAAGAAAAUGAAACAAGUAAAAAUCCAACAAACAGCAUGCCAUAAAUGAACCUUGCUGGUCAAAAUCUCUCUCUUAGCCUAGAACGCCCUAAACCAGUAUGUUCCUCUUUUCUCUUAGUAUUUCUUGGGUGGAGCAACUUUGACAAGAACCCACCUUUCUUCUUCUCCUUCUUAUGAUGAUCAUCACCUUCUUUGCUUCUCAUUCUCGAAGCAAAAGCAACUGAUCUGCUCUUGGAGAGUAUAUUCUUGCCACUAAACAAUAACAAAGAAAAAGAAGUACCCUUUCCGUCUUUAGUAUAACGAUAACGAUGCAUGGGAGAGGAAGAAGAAGAAACUGACGAUGAAGAAUGAUAAGAUGACAAAGAAGAAGAAGAAUAACAAGAAGAGGCAACAAUAGUAGUAGUAGUACGACGUCGUGAUCUAGAAUGAGCUGAUAACUGAGAAAGUUUCUCUCUUAAACAAAGUGAACAAACCCCGGGUGAUUGCCUGUGCUUUGGGUGUCUUUUACAUCCUUCAUUUGGCUUGGAUCGCCCACCUCCACCAUCCUUUGAUGAUCUUCUCAAGUUUAACAUUAGAUUUUUGCUUCUCAUCUCUGGAAGAGUCUUGGUCUUGGCUGCGCCUUUGGGCUCUAAAAGGCAAAAGCACUAUGUAUAAAAGCAAAGUGGAGGGUUGGGGGGAUGCGUUUCCAAGAGAGUUUCUAGGAUGUUUCCGUUCAAAUUUCGCUUUUGACUAACGUUGGCCAUCGGAUAAAGUGGACGUGAUCAAAACAGUGGGAUAUCUGCGCCGUACUUAGGUUAGAGAAUGUUAAAAAUUGUAAAAUUAAUACUAAGCAAAGUAGUCCAAUAAAGUUUGUCCACGUUAACAUUACUGGGUAAUACUUUUAAUGAUUUUGCUAAAAGAGACAGUGAAUUAUUGGGCGGUCUUUUUGUCUCUAUAUAUAUUUUUGCUGCAAUUUCAUUUACCUAAGCAAGAAAAAAUAUAUAUACAUAUUUUGAGUGCAUGCCUGCCUUUGUGUCCCCAAAGAAAUAUUUUUAUUACCAUUUCAAAUAUGAGGCAUUGGAAAAAGAUUUAGUUAACUAGGCCAUUUAGGUACCUAGCCACUCCCCAACAUCCCACCGCAUUAAUUUAUCCAUCUAUUUAGCACUUAUUUUUAUAAAAAAAUGCUAUUAGCCAUUUAUUUUUAAUUGGAUGAAUUAUUAUUUUUGGAUGAUAGAAAGUCAAAUCGCAAAAUGAUGUGAUUAGGUGAUAAUUUUUUUAUCAAUCAUUUAAUUAAUGAAGUAUAAAAAGAAUUUAACCAUUUAUGAUGAAUUAGUUAUUAAAAUAUUUUUUUGGUAAAGAAAAAAUUUUAAGAAUAGAUAAAUUAUUCAGUCUCUUAAAUCAAAAUAAAUAUGUCGUAUCUGAUAAUUUAAGAUAUGUGAUUGUAGAUCGUACAUUCGAGAUGAUCCUAACAAAUGAUCAUCGACAGAACUCGAAUACAAAACUUUUUCGUCGAAAAAAACGAUUCUAAUUGAUUGAAACAAUCACUUAUCAAUAAUUAAUUAUUAAAAUUACUUCAAAAAAAUAAUAAUUAUUUUUUAGUACUAUCUUCGAUGUAGUAUAAUUUCCAUAUAUUUUGUGGAAACUUGUUUAGUCCCGAGAAAGAAGAAUAAAAGUCAACUAGUGAACACAACAAAUGAAAAUUUAAGUCUUUUUAUUCUAAAAAACAUGGGUUGAGUGAAUUUUUGAGGAGGUCCAUCAGGUAACUUGCUCCAUGGAGGGUCCUUACAUAAUAUUAGGGAUUAGUUUAGUAUAAAAUAAUAAACUAUAAGAUAAUAUAGUAUUUUUUUUUAUUCCUAAAUCAUUUUCAUUGCAAAAGAAGCUAUUGAAUAGUUUUUUGGUUUGAAUUGUAAAAUUAAAACUUUAAAUUAAAAAAUUAUAAUUUUUAUUAUUUAAUAUUAAGAUUGAGUAAAAACGGUUUUUGAACAUAAACACUACUUUUAGCCACAAUACUAAACUAGUCCCAAGUAUAUUAUCAUGGUCUAAUGACAUAUUAUAAGCAUGCUUAGCAGUAAGUAGGUUAGAAAUAAAUUGACGACAAUGGUCUCAGCACAUGUUGUGACUAAUGCUUAAUUGGUUGGUAACAGUUAAAGAGUUGGACUUGGAAUCCACACCCCAUUUUCCAUCAGGUCUUUUCAGUUCCCUUCAUCAAUUUCACAUUUAACUUAUACUGUGUUUGGAUUGAGGGAAGUAAAGGGAAUGGAAGGAAAACAAAAAAAAUAAUGAAAAUAAAAAAAAUUAUUUGGAUAAAUUUUUAAUUUAAAGGAAAGGAGAGGGAUGAAAAUUAAUAAUUUUUGGUUUUUUUUUGUAAUCUUCACCUUUUUAAUACUUCAAUUUGGAGGAAAAGCUAAAGAGAUAAAAUUUAAAUUUUUUUUAUUUUUGUUAAAAUACUAUUAUAUUUAUAUUUUUAUUAUAAUAUUAGAUUUAAUUAUAAAACUGAUACAUUCUACAAAGAUAAUUUUUUUUAUGAAUAUUUUAUAUAACAUCACGGUUUAUAAAUAUUUUAUGAUUUUUCAAAUUUUACAACAAAACAAGCUAAAUUAUUAUUAAAAUAAAUUAAAAAACUGAAUUAAACAUAAAAUUAAGAGUAAAUUAAUAAUUAAUUAAUAUAUUUUACCGUAUUAAACAUGUUUAAUUUUGUUCAAAAAGAUUUAUUUAUACAAGUUAGAUAGUAUAAAGAUAUAUUUAUAUAUUAUAUGUUACUUUAUAAAAAAUAUUAUAAUGAAUUAUUUCUUUUUUUUUUACUAUUUAUCUAACUAAUGGUUAUUAGAAUUUUUUUUUCCUUUCCUUUAUUAAUUUUAACUAUCUAAACAAAAGAUAUAUUUACAUUUUCAUUUCCUUUAAAAAAUUUUCAUUUCCUUUCAUUUUAUUUUAUUUCCUUUCUUUUAUUAAUAUGUAUAUGAACAUAGUGUUAAAGUUUGCAACAGUCUUUACCCUGAUUGAAUGACAUUAUCCUUUCUACCUUUUUUCUUGCAGAUUCGGAACAAGUUCAUAAUUGGUUUAAGAGAAUUGAGUUUUUUUCCCCCUAACUUUAUACGUUUUUUUUUAUUAAAAAAAAUUAAGUGAGGGCAGAUUAUUCUAUUUCCAAUUAAGAUAUGCCACAAAUUUUAUAAAAAAUUAUAUUAAAUUUACAUAUUGUUGAUAAAAAAAUUUAUUAACAGCUUUCCUCAGUGUAAUGAAAACAAAUUAACCAACAGGGUAAAAGGAGUAGGUUGAAAUUAAUAUAUAGAGAACUAAUAAGGACAGUAAUGAGAUGUCAACAGCUGAAUCCUCGAAGUUGGGAGGAAACAAGCAUUGGUGGUCUAGCGAUCUGGGACAUGGAUUUUGUUAGGACGCGGAAAUGGUACUUCAUAGGGGGAGUGGGAUUGUUUUCAGCAGCAAUUAAAAGCCCAUGCUACAUGUCAUGAUCCAACCUUUGUAUAGGGUCAUGAUCAGGUUUAGACUGUCAAGAGUCAACUUUUGCAUAAGGUUAUGAUGUAAUAGAGGUGUCAAGGGAAAUGUAGAUAUCUUGUGUUAAGAAAAAAUAUCUUUAUUUCAAAUAUUGUAACGGUUAGUGGUAACAUAAUUAUAAUAUUUUAUUUUUCUUUAGAAAGUGUGAGCAGUCGAUGUAUUGUUGAACUGUCUCACUAGUUAAGGUAUGUGCUAGGUCACCUAUCUAUAACUACCAUUCUGGCCUCGACGAUGGUAGGGAAGUUUUUGAUAUACUAUUCACAAUAUUAAUAAAAUAUUUUUUUAUUCGAAAACCCCGAAUGUUGCUAUGAUGUGCUUUCUUAGCGUCUCAAUGUGAAUGUCUAUAAUUGUGUAUGCUUGAGAUUAACUUGUGACUUAUUGUUACCUGUUCAGAUAUCGGGCUAUUUUUGGCUGACUUGUGUGGAAGUGUCCAUCCAAGUGUCACACUGUCUAUUACUUCAUUGAAAAAAGUUUAACCAGUGACAUGUGGUAUUAGAAUACGGUUAAAAAGUGUUAGAGAAUUGAGAAAAUGGUCACGAGCGGUGGAUUCAAUUAUCAACAGAAAAUUAAAGAGCUGGAGGCCGCGGUGGUCGCUUUAAAAGCUCAUGUGGUGAUAAAUGAUCGGCUAAGAGAGAUCGAGACAACCCGACGAGAGUUGUCCAAUACUCUACAUAGCUUGAGUGAAGAGGCUAGAGAUGCCUUGAAUGUUCUUCAAAAAGAGUUUGAGGAGUUUAGAGCCCAAGUGAGUGUUCUACAACUGGUUAUGGCCAGAUCGAGUUCUAGCUCGACGAAAAGGGAAAAAAGGGCCAAGGUGCCAAAGCCCGAUGCUAUGAGAGGGCAAGAGAUACCAAAGAGCUUGAAAACUUUUUGUUUGACAUGGAGCAAUACUUUCAAGCUAUGCAUACUAAAUCAGAGGAAGAUAAGGUUGCAAUGGCGUCAAUGUAUCUAGCAGGGGAUGCCAAGCUAUGGUGGUAUUCAAAAUUUAUAAAUGAUGAAUGUCCUAUCAAAACUUAGGUGGAUUUGAAACAUGAAUUGAAAAAUCAAUUCUUUCCUAAAAACAUAGAGUAUAUGGCUCGAAAGAAGCUUUGAGAAUUGGUGCAAAUAGGAACAAUACGGGAGUUUGUAAAGAGCUUUUCUACCUUGAUGUUGGAUAUUAUAGACAUGUCCAAAAAGGACAAGAUGUUCUACUUCCUUGAAGGCCUCAAACCUUGGGCCAAGACGAAAUUACAAAGACAAAAGGUGCAAGAUGUGGCCACAGCCAUGGCUACAGCUGAAUGUCUUCAUGAUUACAAUGAUGGCUCCUCAAAACAAAAAAUCUUAUAUCAUGUGGCAGUAACUCCAACUUUGAGAAUGAAAGAAAGAUGGUCAGAGUGGACCGACCUUUUAGUAGGAGAUCAAACAAAAGGCCCUUUGGUUAAGACAAUGCCCAACCCAAGGCAAACAACGCAACAAAUUUUAAGCCCAGGCAACCAUUAGCUUGUUUUUUAUAUAAGGGGCUGCAUCGAGUGAUCGAAUGCCUACAUAGAGGGGCCCUUAAUGCUUUGAGAGCCUUGUCUCAAGAGUCUAUGAAAGUGCCCGAGACAGUCAAAAAAAUGUAAAAAAAUCAGCUAAGAUAGGCUCCAUGCGAUUCCUUAAUGCCCUCCAUACCCAGCUAAACAUGAUAAAGAAAAAAUCGAGUAGAGGCUUGAUAUAUGUGGACCUGGUACUCAAUGAGAAGAUCACAAGGGUCAUGGUAGAUACAUGUGCAACUGAUACCUUCAUCACACCAGAAAAAACAAAAACGUAUGGUCUCAAGGUGAGCAAGGACUAUGGGCAAAUGAAAGUGAUUAACUCACUAGCCUUUGAGAUUAGUGAAAGUUUCAAGAAUGUGAUGACCAAGUUGGGGCCAUAGGAAGGAAAGAUAGACUUCACAGUUUUCCCCAUGAAUGACUUUGAUGUUGUCCUCAGACUGAACUUCAUGAUGUUGGCUCAGGUGAUACCAAUCCCCAUCGCUAGUUGUUUAUUAUUCUUAGGGGAGCACCCAUGUGUGGUGCCGACCACAAUCUUAUCGAAGAGUGGAAAGAAAAUGAUUUCAGCACUACAAUUCAAGAAAUGGGUAAAGAGAGAGGAGUCUUUUUAUGUGGCUAUGUCGAUUUACAAGGAUGGGAUGGAAUUGGAAUCGAUACCCGAUAGGGUGAAAAAGGUGUUGGGAGAAUUUGAGAAUGUGAUGCUAGAGCAAUUACUUAAGAUCCUACCUCUUUAAAGAUUGGUUGACCAUGAAAUUGAACUUCUCCCAGGAGUCAAACCCCAUGUUAGGGCCUCAUACCGCAUGGCUCUACCAGAAUUGGCUAAACUAAGGAAACAAUUGGAGGAACUUUUAUAAGUUAGGUUCAUUAGGCCGUUAAAAACAUUAUUUGGAGCACUUAUGCUAUUUCAGAGGAAGCAUGAUGGAAGCCUACAAUUAUAUGUAGACUAUAGAGCCCUGAACAAGGUUAUCAUGAGAAACAAAUAUCCAAUUCCUCUUAUUAUUGAUUUGUUUGAUCAACUGAGUCGGGCCAAAUAUUUUUCCAAAUUGGACUUAAGGUCCAGCUAUCAUCAAGUUAAGAUUAUGGAGGGAGAUGAGCUAAAAACUAUUUGUGUAACAUGGUAUGAGGCAUUUGAAUUUUUUGUUAUGCCUUUUGGACUAACCAAUGCUCCUGCCACAUUUUAUACCUUGAUGAAUCAAGUGUUCCAUGAUUAUCUUGACAAGUUCGUGGUCAUUUUUUAGAUGACAUAGUGGUAUAUAGCUCCACUUUGAAAGAGCACCAAAAACACCUACUCUUAGUGUUUCAAAGAUUACAAGACCAUCAAUUGUUUGUAAAAAAGAGAAAUGUGCAUUUGCUCAAACAUAAAUUCAUUUCUUAGGCCAUAUUGUCUAAUAGGACCACAUCCAAAUGGAUAUGAAAAAAGUUAGGGCCAUCAAGGAGUGGACAACACCAAAGAUUGUCAGUGAACUUCACUCGUUUUUAGGAUUGGUCAACUAUUACAAGAGAUUUGUGGAAGGGUACUCUCAUAUAACUACUGCCCUCACAAACUAUUGAAAAAGGAGCAUAAAUGGUGUUGGACAAGUGAAUGUCAAGAAGCUUUUGAGGGAUUGAAGGAAGCUAUCAUAAAUGAUCCUAUCUUGGCUUUUUCUGAUGUCGAGAAGCCUUUCGAAGUUCAAACAGAUGCAUUUGACUUUGCUAUUGGGGGAGUGCUAUUACAAGAAUGGCACCCAAUAGCAUUUAAAAGUAAGAAGCUAAGUAAAGUCGAGAAGAGAUAUAUAGCUCAAGAGAAAAAACUUUUGACAGUGAUUCACUAUCUGAGGACUUGGCAACAUUAUUUAUUGGGUUCACACUUUGUUGUGAAGACGGACAACACAGCAGUUAGUCAUUUUCUCACCUAACCGAGGCUCACAACGAAGUAAGCCAGAUGGUAUGAAUUUUUAGCUGAAUUUGAUUUUUAUUUUGAGCAUACAACUGAAAGAAGUAAUCAAGUGGUCAAUGCAUCGAGUAAACGAGCUGAACUGGCAGCCCUUAGGAGAAUUACCCCAAUGACAGCUAGUAAAGUCAUAAUAGACAUUCGUAAGCUAAUUGAAGAUAAUUUCAAAAAAGACUAUCCAGGUCGAAGCCAUCCUGAAGUUAGCAAAAAAAGGGAGUCUAAAUACUUUUGACAGAAAAUAGAGUCGUGUUAAUAAAGGGCCCUCGAUUGUUUAUGCUGAAGAUAGGAGGUCUAAAACAGAUGCUGAUGAGGAAAUACCAGACACACCAUAGACGAGUCACCCCGGAUGGCAACGUAGUUUAGCUCUAUUAAAACAAAGCUAUUAUUGGCUUCACAUGCGACAGGAUGUGAUGGAUUACACCAAAACUUGCCUCAUUUGCCAACAGGAUAAAGUUGAAAAGAAAAAACUAGCAGGCAUGCUUGAACCACUAUCGGUACCCACUAGACCUUGAGAAAGUAUCUCUUUUGACUUCAUAUCAAGCCUUCCCAAAGUUGACGAUCUUAGAUCUAUUUGGUAGUGAUUGAUCAUUUUUUGAAGUAUGCUACAUUCAUUCCUGCCCAAUAGUAUUAUACUAUAGAAGAUACAACACGACUAAUGUUUAAACAUGUAAUCAAAUACUAAGACCUCCCUCAAAACAUUAUCAGUGACAGGGAUCCAAGAUUCACGGGAUCAUUUUGGAGAGAGCUUUUCAAGAUACUGGGGUCUCAACUCAACAUUUUUUCAAGCUACCACCCCUAAAUUGAUGGUCAAAUGGAAUGAUUCAAUGGGUUGCUCGAUGAGUACUUAAGGCACUUUGUACAAGCUAAUCAAAAAAAUUGACCUUCGUUAUUGGACGUCGCUCAACUUUGUUUUAACUCCAAUAAGAGUUUUUCAACAACCAAGAAUCCGUUUGAGGUGGUCACUGGACAACUACCUAGACUACCCCAUACUUUCAUUAAGCAAUAUGAUGAGAAGAAUCCAUGAGCCUUCAACCUCAAUAAAGAAUGGAGAUAAAAUACAGAGAUUGCACAAGCAUACCUAGAAGAAGCAUCUAAACACAUGAAGAAGUGGGUCGAUAAGGGUUGUAGAGAACAACAAUUCAAGGUCGGAGAUCUUGUUCUUGUCAUAUUAGUGCCCGAACAAACCAGGUUCCUGAGAAAGAAAGAUCGUAAAUUGGUGCAAAAAUAUGAAUGUCCAGUGAAGAUCCUUUCCAGAGUGAGGAAUGUCUCUUAUAAAAUUGAUCCACCAAAAUGGAUGAAAGUGCAUCCAAUGUUCCAUGUGAGCAACCUAAAACCCUUCCAUGCAGAUCCUGCAGAUGCAAGUCACAGAGAGUCAACCAGGGCCAUCAUCAUAACGCCACAUUAAAGAGAUUCUAGCGGACAGGGUAUCCAAGGUAUCUAAGAGAAUAGUUCGUGAAUACUUAGUGAAAUGAGAGGGUUUAGGACCAGAAGAAACUGGUUGAAAAAGAGACCAUGACCUCCGAGCAUUCCAGCGAAAGAUUGAAGAGUUUCAAGCCAAGAAAUCGACAAGGACGUUAAUAGAAUAAGUGGGGGAAGAUGUCAUGAGCCAACCUUUGUAUAGGGCCAUGACCGGGUAGAGGUGCCAGGGGGGAGGGUAGAUCUCUUGUGCUAGUGAAAAGUGUCCCCAUUUCAAACAUUAUAACGGUUAGUGGUAUCAUAGCUAUAAAAUCUCAUCUGCUCUUUAGAGGGGGUGAACAGUCGGCAUAUUGUUGGGUUACCUAAUUGGUUAAGGUAUGUGCUAAGCCACCCAUCUAAGGUUGCCCCUUUGGCCUCGACGAUGGUGGGAAAGUUCUAUUCACGAUAUUAAUAAAAUAUUUCUUUUAUUCAAAAAUCUCAAGUGCUGCCUCGAUGUGCUAUCUUAGUGCCUCAAUAUGAAUGUCUAUAAUUGUGUAUGCUUGAGCUUAACUUGUGGCUUAUUGUUGCCUAUUCAGAUAUUGAGCUAUCCUUGGCUGACUUGUGUGGAAACAUCUAUCCAAAUACUGCACGAUCUAUUGCUUCCUUAAGAAAAGCUUAGCCCGUGACACUACACCUGUAAUAUUGUGACUCUGCUUAAAUUUCCCUCUCUUCCAAAGUUUCCUGCAGUUGGGGCCGAAGGACAUGCUCUCCCAUUUCCCUGGCCAGCCGUUGUGUUUGAUUUUAAUGACAUUAUUAUUGGACUCUAGAACUAGAAAACUCUAUGCAUGUCGAGUUGUCGAACCUGUGUACUAAAGAAUUCGUAUGUCGGCAAUGUGUACAUUCAGGAAGAACAUACUUAAAACCAAAUGUAUAAAAGCUGAACAAAGAACGAAAUAUGAACUCCGAUUAUGGUUACUUUUUUAAGCUUGACGGUGCAUGCUGAUUGCUAAACCACAAAACCAUUGGAUAGCCACCGUAAACUUGAGAAUUUGAUGCAAGAAUAUUGUGAAACAAAUUUAGAAGAAACAUAGUUGAAGGUCCUGGAAAAGAAUUUCAAAUUUACAACCUGCCAUCUCGAAAAAGAAAAUUGAAAAUUUUAGACAUUUUUGAGAAUUAACAUUAAAUGUUCAAGACAGCAUCAUCUUAUUGCUUAUGUGUCCAGAUUUCCCUAUUGGGUGUCAGCAAUAACAUGUUAUAUAAUCAUAGAAAUGCUGUCCAAUAGAUUAUGUUGAAAUGUCGUAUAUUAAUCUUAAUCAACCAUAUCUCACUACUACACCCAAUGGUUAAAUGGUUUAGAAACUAGCACAAAAAUAGAGAACUGCCAAGACCCCGAGCUCAUCAUCGGACACUACGUGUUGUAAAUUGUUUAACAUGACUGCAGUAAGAUGAUGAGACACAAGAUCAAGCAACUCUUCUCACUCCAUCUGAUUAUUUACUUAAUCCAGCAGCCUCUGUGGUUUUGAUAUCUCUUGGGCAUUGGGAUACAUAAGGUUUGAGCUGCAAGAACAACAAAGACAACCAAGAUCAGCAAUAGAUGCAGACACUUUAUUGGUGAAGCUGUAAAUCACAAAGUAGAGAGCUCAAACUGUUUGGGAAACAAAAUACAUAUCAAACCAACUCUCCUUACAGUGAAUGACUUAAGUAUAGAGAUCACAAAAAUGCCAACUCUCAGCUAAAAUAAAAAUAAUGGUCAUUUGAUACCACAAACAUGAUUACUCAAAAUAAGGCCACAGUAUUGGACAAAAUACAUCCCUCUUUCAGGCACAAUUAAUGUGAGAAACAGGCUUCAAUAUUUCCAAGAUCAGAAAUCCGAAAUAAUCACGCCAACAACCCCCAAGAGUGCAAUUCUUUGAUAUAUGUAGGGUUUGGUUUGGCAAUACAGAACUAUAUUUAUAUUUUUUAAAAGUGAAUCUUAACUAACAAUUCAAGAAUCAACAGUUUAAAACAAUUCUAGUAGAAAGGAAAAAGAGAAAUGGCACUGGGCUGGGGCAAAGAGCAUUAAGGUUCAUUUAACAUGGUCAUGCAGAAUGCCCUAAUUUCAGUUCCACACAGACAACAAACCCAGGUCUAAUACAGUCAACCACAAUGCUUCUAUGGUACCUACGAGCCUCCCUACAUACAAAAGCCCAAGCCUUAAAAAAUCAAACUUCUAGGGUUAUGACUUCACCAUAGUAUUUACUAAAGCAUCAGAAAACAUAUCCUUGUUAAGUUUGGAAAUGGGAGACUAAUAAGUUUCUUGGACAAGUUGUGACUUGUAUCUCAUAUAGAAUGCUUUGUACACAAAUGGAUAAUGGAAAUUAAAAAAUACAAGCAAGGAAUGAAAUUACCUUGAAGUCAGUCAAAUCAGGAACCACAUAGUUUGGCAACUUUUCCUGCAUCAGAACAUACCCACCUGCAGCAUAUUUUUCAGUUAUACUCCAAACAGAAAGCAGAUAAAUACACCAUUCAAGCAAUUAAAAUUACAAAGUUUCAUGCAACAGUCUAAAUCAUUGGGUUAUAAUUCAAACUCUGGGAACAUAAUAUGGAACUUGUAUUUGUAAUUUUUCAUCAGAUGGCGCUAAUAUUAAGAAUACCUCGCAGGCAUACAGGCUACCAGAUUUUUUAAGCUUGCAAUCAUAAUCUUUAAACCUAAUAACUCAAGCUGCUUCACAUAAUAAAAUUAGCAAUAGCUUCCUCAUUUGAGUAUUGGGAGGAUUUUAGGCCACAUUCACACAAGCCACACCUCAGAUUAUGUUUCUUCUCUUUUAACGUAACAUGGUUAUAUUCAUGCCCAUAAGACUAUGAAUAAUAGCUUAAGAACUCAAAAUCACAAGCGGAGUCGUCAAGAUAUUGGAAAAUAAUACGCAGCAUUCUGUUCGAAACAAUUCGUUAGUUUACAAGGAAGAUUCUACCGGUUGAUUCACCAAAAGCAUAGCUAACCACCACGACUGAAUCCAAAUGAUCAAGAAAUAAAAAUGAAGAAUUUUCAAAAUCUACUAAUCUUACUUUUAACAUACUAAACCCCGAACUGAUGAAUAGAUUAACUAAUCAUUCCCUAAUCAACCAACCCUAAAUUAAAUCAACCAGAGAUAAUAAUAAUAAUAAUAAUAAUAAUAAUAAUAAUAAUAAUAAUAAAUCCAUAAAAUAUUUUCGAUUAAAUCAUUUCCACACACCAAAAAAAAUUUCUUAUGCUUCUCAAACCUAAAAAUAAUCACUAAAUCCUUCAAAACCCACAAGAAUAAUUAUAAGAAGCAAUAUAUAUGUCUAUAUAGAAGUGAAUGGAACCUUUGCGAGUGUGGAAACCAGUAGACUUGCAAUUCUUUCCCUUGUAGUAAUCUCGUGGGGCUCGUUUCGACGAGAGAAUGUGGAGCGAUGAGGUACGCUUCCUUCGAAACGCCCUUCCUAUCCCUAAUAUCAGUCCCAACGGCAUUUUUUCCUCGUUUUAACCGAAUUAUUAAACCCUGAAAACCAGAAUUAAGCCAUAAUUAUCAGAUAACUAGAUUAAUAAUUCAUCAACUAUUAUUGGCACAAGUAGAAGGAAGCUUACUGGUUUGAGGGUUCAGCAGAUCAAAGAAGCAGAAAUAAGCAGUGGGAGGGUUCAGGGGUUUUCUUGAAUUUUUAAUCUUUUUUUCGACGAUGAUCCAGUCUGCCCAGGAAAUUUUGGGCUAAAAAAAAGUUUAGGCUUUCAACCUAAAAAGCCCAACUUCUCUUGAUUCAUUAAUAAUUGGUUAACUUUUAAAACAAAAAAAAAAAAAAAAAAGUAGGAUUCUAUUUUCAUCCUAUUUUCUUGUUCCAUUUUUUACGUCCCAAAACUAAUUCUUUACAUUUUGAACAUUUAUUUUAUUCAUUAUAUUGUAAUUUGUAUUUAAUUUUUUAAUGUUAAGAAUUUAAAUGGAAAAAAUUAAAAAUUUAAUAUAUUAAUAAAAUUUUCAUUUUUUUUCAACGCAAAUAUGAACUAAAAAUAUAAUACAAACAUGUAUCAUUAGACUUGUUUAUGGAUUGAGUCGGAACAGAUUCAAGUUAGGUUUAGAUAAUGUAUAAAUAAAUUUCAAAUUAAUUUAAACCUAAUAUGAUCUGACCACAAAUAUAGGUAUUAUUUUGUUGUUCAACUCUCCAUCUUUAAAAGAUUAUCCUACAAACCCAUCCAUAUUUUAAAAAUUUUCAGAUAAUAAAAUCAAAAUAAUUUUUAUAAUAAAUGUUAAUUAUGAUAAAAUAAAUAAUCAACGAAAUAAAAUAUAAAAAAAGCUUUAUUAUUUUAAUUAAGAGUUUGAAUGUGAUUAGUAUAUAUAAGCAAAAGAUAUUAAUGAAUACAUAUAUUAUUUAUUUAUUUAUUUUUAUGUAAUAUAAAUAUAAAUAUAAAUAUAUAAUAAUUAUUCACACCAAACUUUAAAUUUUAUAUUCAAGGCUUGACCAUUUUUUAAACAGACCUAAAAUUUAAAUCUAAAGUUUUUUUAAUAGAUCUAAAAUUUAUAUCCAAAUAUUUUAAAAUUUUGAACUGAUUUCCAAGUUUUUGGUGAUAGUCUAAUUUUUUAACAAAUCUAGAUAUUAUUAUUUAUACUAAUAUUAAAACCUUUAACAGAAUUUGGCGCACAAGUUAAGUGAUACCAACUUAUCAAUUGGUGAAUUAACAAAAAAAAAAAUUGCAUCAUGUAACAAUAAAAAAAAAAAGGUAUGCUAAUUUGUUUUGUUAAAAAUAUAAAUGAAAAUGAAUUAUUUUUAAUUUCACACAUGUGCCUUUUUUUUCUGUUUUAAAAUUAUAAAUCAGUUAUUUUUAAAUAUUUAAUAAUUUAAUUUAUUCAAAAAAAAAAUUAUAUACUAUUUCACCCGUGUCAAAGAUUAACAAUCUUUAAUAACAUUUUAAAAUUUAAAAUUUAAUACUUAUAAUUUUUUUAUAUAUUUAAAUUCUCACUUUUUUAUAUAAAAAACAUUUAUGAAAUAAGAAAAUAGUAGCGGCAGGCUUAGGUAGAUAAUGUCAACUAUGCUAGAGCCUAGUCUAUGAAGGCUUUAAUAAAAUAUCCUUUUAAUAAAAUGAUUUGGCAAUCAAGAAGCUAAAAGUCACAUCAUUUUAAUUGUUAAUAAACAGAAUCAUGUUAUUAAUAAUUCGCAAGGUUAGACGUACAAAACAGAGGUAUAUGAAAUCUUACUAUUACAAAUUUAAAAGUGCUGGGACACACUUGUCGUCAAUCAUUGAACAUUGAUUAAUUUUAAAAGCAAAAUCAUACAUUUCGCAGCAAAAGCAUGGACCAAUUAUAUAAUAUAUUUUUAUUUGUGUAUUUAAUGUUCGAAUAAAAAAAAUUAAGAACUAUAAAAUUUUUUUUCUUAUUUAAAAAUUCAUUCUUGUCAUCUUAAAUUUCGAGUUUCAAUUUUAACAAUGUAAAGUUUGUAUUUUUACUCUGUACCAAUCUUUGUGUUCUUCUAAUGUCCGAUCCCUUUAGCAAGCAGCAACAGGACAACAAAAGACAAUCUUAUCAACCAUGUAGUAAUGGCAGUUGUUCAGAUUAAAAAUCAAAGAACAGAAAACAAAGUUCUUUUGGAACUUUUCAUUAUCAUUUUCCACCGAUAGAGAGAAAAAAAAAAAAAAAAGGGUAUAAAUAUCUCAAUAGGCAGAAUAUUUUCAGUGGUGGGGGGAUGGCAUUGCAUACGGAUAUAUGGAUCCUCCUUUGCGAUUUACAAGCAUUUGUUUGCCAAUAUCUUCUUCUACGAUUCUCUUGCAAAUAGACAAAUAGUCGUUUAGUCGCUUUCCAAUUGUUUAACUUCCUAUACUUUUUGCUUCAUUGUUUCAAUUUAACAAAGAUAAUGUCGAUGACUAAUGGUCAAUUUAGUGACAUCAAAUUCAAUCCUUGUGUAAAUGUCUACACGUGCUUGAAAUAAUCAGAAAAGGAGAGAAAAAAUGUAUGUACUGUAUGUUAUAGUUUGUAAAGUUGUUGAUUUCAUGCCAUUGAACAAACAUAAAUGUCGAAAAUGGAGUAACAAUUAAACUAUACACGACCCAUACAUAGGCUUCUCAGGAAUUGAGUGCCAAUCCUAACUUAGUAACAUUGGUUGAUGAUGCAAAGAAAAUUUGUGGGGUGAAAGAUUUGGUUGGUACUAGGGAUUGCCACAAACAAGGAAAAGCUAUAGCUAGAUGCUUUAGGGGCAUCAACAGUGAAACAUAGAUGACAUAUGGGACCCAUUUCUGACGUGAGAGAGACUUGUAGGAGCCAAGAGUCGCAGCAGCUUUGUGGUCUGUCCCUUUCCCACCCAAACUAGAAAAGUGGAAAGGGACCAGCGUUAUCUCCUCCUCCACACGUUGUAACAAUCACAGCUCGAGAUGUGCAUUGAAGUGAAGCUCGGGAAACUGUUUUAGGCAUUUUAAUAAUAAUUUAGUAAUAAUCAUCAAUUGCAAUGCAAUCAAACAUUUAGACCAGACUAAGGAGUGCAUUUGUGAUUUUUAGGCGAUCAGGGAUGAGAUGGGGCUUUCAUAUUUUGGUAUUUUAUGGUUGAAACUUGCGAGAAUUUCCUCCCUUCAUUGAAGAGAAAUUGGGUGGUGAGUGUGUCUGGUUUAAACCAUAGACAAGUCCCUUUUGUUUUAAGGAGUGGUACCCAAAGAAGAGAAAAAGAGCUCUCUUGUUAUUCUCUUGCUAUUUAAUUUUGUUAGCUAUUGGUCAGGAUCUACUUUUUACCAACCACAUGGGCUGAUGGGCGCCCAUCAGAAACGAGAACAGGGAAAGUGAAAGGAAACAGAAAAAAGAUUGGACCAAAGAGGUUCUCCUUUGUCUAUACCUAUGGGGGGAUUUUGGUUGGCUUUCUUAAAUGGAAAACAGCUUUGGCCAGUCAUAUUUUGCAUUUCAGCAAUUUCAGCUUAAAACCUGUUAAAAUUCACAACUUUCAAGUUGAAGCAGAGAUAUCAAUCUUAAUCUUUUGUUUUUACAUUAAUUCAGGCUAGCGCUUCCAGUUUUGCAGUCAAACCAGUGGUGGGUGUCCCAAAAAGAAAAAGAAAGGAACUCUGUGGUAGGGCUAGAAUGGUUGCAUCAAGUAUCCAAUAUGGCCAUUGAACAGCCAGCAUCGUGCUGCUGCUGCUGCUGCUAUUUGAAUUUUCAAACAGGAUCCUCACUCCUCAGCCAAUUCCCUGGAUUAAACUGGCAACGCAAAAAGCACAUGCUAUUGAGAAAUGACAUCUCCUUGAUGUGAACUCCACUUACACUCUAGUCAAUUGUCUACUUGGAAGUUCGAACAAUAAUUUCUUCUAUAUGACAAGAAAUUAGCAGCUUAUUCUAAAUAUAAACACCACAUUUUGAGAUCAUUUACCUACUUCCUUUUGUUUAUAUUACAUUAAUUUUACAGCAGAUAUUUUGCUCGUCCGUUGUUGAAGCACAUACUAAACAUUUUUUUUUUUGAAAUCAAUAGAAGAACAGAACUUAGCUCCUAAAUGACAAAACUUUCAAGGCUAUUUUAUUCCUUAUGCAAGAAUUAUAAAAGCUUUAUGGUGUUGACGGUUAUAGGGACUUCAUUCUUUUUACUGCCCCGUGAAGUACCAUUGAAGAGUUGGAGCUUGAUCAACUGAGAAGAAAUUGCAAGAUUCCUCUGCAGUAAACGUACAUUGCUCUUCCACUUUCACUAACUGGGGGUGAUACAUAUUACCCAGAAUCAUUCUGGAGUCAAAUGAUUGAAACCAUUGAUGAUUUGAUGAAUCUGAACAUGAAGAAGAUCCAUUAAACCGAAAAGGAGAAGAAGAAGCUGGCGAUAUCAAUAACUGAGCAUUGACAUUGCAGUCUUCUUUAACAAUUCCAAUGGAAUCAUCAUCAUUGUCACAAAAAUCGUGGUCCUUGGUCUGCUGUGAAACUUUUGGAGAAUCUUCUUUAACAGACUGACUGCUUUCUGAAUUCUCUUCUUUGAGCUUUGCUUUCAGCUCUCUCAACUGCAAUUCAGCAUCCAAAAUCAUGUUAAACUUCCAAGAAUUUUAACUUCUAAUAACUGCAAUCAAAAUGGGAUUUUACUAUACCUUUGCAGUUAAAGCUUCUUUUUCUUGUUCAAGAUUGUUAUAGUCAAGCUUAAGAGCAUCAUAAUUGGCUUUAAGGAUAGUAUAGUCUUUCUCCAACUGCUUGGUCUUCCAACGAGCACGGCGAUUUUGGAACCAAAUAGCUACUUGCCUUGGCUGCAGGCCUAAUUCUUCUGCUAAUUUCACCUUUCUCUCUGGCUCUAGCUUGUUUUCCACCUCGAAAUUUUUCUCCAAUGCCUUAACUUGAUGGAUAGACAAUCGCCUUUUCUUCUCAGUAGCUUGACCUGCUUCUCCUAAGCUGUCUUCCUCCUCCAAACCAUCUAACAUUGCCUGGAAUUCCCUGCUGUAAACUUGCUUGUUUUUUGAAUUCUUCUCCUCUACACAAUUUAACAAAUUUAAUUCAUUAUCAUGGGCUACAGAAACAUAAAAAUAUAUUGCAGAAUUUUCUUAAAACAAAAAAAAAACUAUUUGGCUGCUAAACAUGGGAAAUAAAAUAUAGAAUUUUUAAAGCCUAACCCAACAAAAAUGAGGUCUAAAGUAAAAGAAGACAGAUGUUUCUGAUUCUGAAUUAUGGUGUAGAGUAAUAGUUAAAUGUCCUGUACCUUUAGGUGGACAGAUGGAAAUCAAAGCAUCCAGGGAACCCGAGGAACUGGGCCGCUUCAUGAUUUAACCAAAAGCAAGAACCUAAGCUGAUUUUUUAAGGUACUGCUUUCUGUUGCUGAAGGAGGUUCAAAAUUUCAAGUAGGUUUUCUCUCUUAGUUUGGAGAAGCCAUGAUUACAAUGAAUACUACUAGUAGUUUAUAUUGUGCCACUGAAAGCUGACAAGAAUGGCAAAAAAUGUUAGUACAAAAGAGAGAGAGUGAGAAAGGUUUCUUUUCUUUUAAUGCCCCUCAGUCCCCAGCUUCAAGUUCUUGGAAGAACAAAAUGAAGCAAAAUCAUUGGUCUGCCAAGAAUUUAGAGAAUUAUGAGAAACAAGUUGCAAAAUAAAAAGAAAAAAAAGACUCUUUCUUAAUCAAAGUUAAUACAGUAUUGAGAGACAGAGAGAGACCUUUGAAAGGAACCUGCUUCACUGGGAGCAGUUAUAUAAAAGGCUUUAAGCCUUUAACUGUAGUAAACUGAUGAAGUGAUUUGAAAUUUGACACCUAGUUGCAUUUUUUUUUCAACUCUUUCUUGGCAAAAAUAAACUGAAGCACACAAAUUAGAUUAAACUUGUGGUCUUAAUAGGGGUGUUUAAUAUUUGAUCUCAACAAAAGAAAAAUCUAAAUUCAGUAAUUUGGUCUGAUUUAUUUGCUUUAAAUUAAAAAAAAAAAAAGAGUUUUGUUUUGAAACCCAAGCCGAAUCAUUAUAAUACAAAUUCAUCCAAUUGAAUUUUGAACCAAAAUGGUGUCUCAGGGAAUGAAUAUCAGCCAAUCAAACAAAAAACCUUGAGAUAUAUGUGUGUGUAUAUAUAUACAUAUAUAUAUAAUGUUGUCAUUUUGUCACAUCCAACAUAGAAAAUGAAUUAAAUCAAAUGGUGGUUGGUUAUUUUAUGAUCUUUCUAGGGGAAAAAAAUUAAGUAAAUAAAACUAGACCAGAAAAAUUGGCUGUAAAAUGCACUGAAUUAAUUUGUGGCAAUUUGGUUGGAACAAAAUAGUUUGGUAUAAAACUGCCAAUGCCCCAAAUUUGAAGGCAACAGCUUCUUCUAUCAUUUCUAUUUUGGAUUAGAAUCUCAAUAUUGCUUGCAAGAUAUGCACUUUGUCUCAUGAUUCAUGGUCAGGCAUUAGCAUUGAGGACAUUUUAGCAACCAAAAUUUGGCCUAGCCUGUUAUUUUUUUAUACUUGGAGCAGUUAGGAUUUGAAUUUUGGUUACUAAAAUUAAGGAUUCAGUAUUUUACCAACAAACCACGAUUAUUGGCCUAACCAUUAAUAUUUCUUAGAUGAUGUACCAAAAAUUAAAAAUAAUAAAAGGAUAUGGGAAUUCUUCAGCUCAAGUUAGCCAAGUUUAAGAGAAAUGGUGGAGGUUUAAUUCAAGUUGUUAAAUCAAAGAUUCAGAUUUUUAUCAUAAACAUUCUGCUAUGAAAGUUGGUCCAUCCCAAGGAUUUUGCAUAAUUUUUUUCAAGGCAUGUAAUAUAAUUUUAUAAACAAUCAAACAUCAAACUAGAAGGGAUGGAGCAACGGUGAUAGGAUCAACAGAAACACAUCUAAUUAAAGAAAAAAGAAGAGACAAAGAAAAACAUACUUUAUUCAUUACUAAUAAUUUGGCUGAUGACUUUUUAAUCCGAGUUUCCUUACAGAGCCAUGAAAGAAGUAAUAAAUUAGAUUCUAAAGCAAUUGGAGUUCCCACUCAAAGGUGUGUUAAUGUCCCAUUGGAUGUAGUUUCUGGAGUUUCCACUGUUCUUUUGUAAGAAAUGCUGCAUUAAGUUGCAUGGUUUUCUUUCUCUUCUUUUCCUUGAAAAGGAUUUCUGAGUCAUUGGUGGCUCUUUCAACAGUGCAGCAUCGAUUACCAUUGCUUUUGCUUGAUAUACAUAGCUGCAACUUCCUACACUGUCAUGUUUUUAAUAAGAUUUCAGGAUGCGUUGGCUAUAUCAUUCCACGAUUGUUGUCUUUCUUGAUUUGAGGAAAAAAUAUUCUUCAUUUAAAAGAGACUUACUUCAAAUGGGAGACCCUGAUUUUUUCUUUUUUCAUUAACUUGUAAGUAAGAACUUUCCAUUGGGGAACAGGCGUGUUCUACCACAACUCCUCAUUCGUAACAAUUUGUGUCAUUCAAUCUAUGGUUUCAUAAAGCAGAACAAUCCCAUAGCACCAAUGCAGGCUCUUUUAGUCUUUAUCUCUGCGACACUGAUUUUAUCCAACAGCACCUAGCCGAGCUCUGUAAAAAGGAAAAAUAUGCGAUGAUCACUUUAUCGGUUGACGUGACUUGAUCAAUUUCAGUUCAAAAAAGCAUAAAGCACUUAGGUUGGGGAAAGAAGAUAACAAAAGAAGAUAAUAUGCUAAUAAGCUGCCGUUGAAACUAUUCAAAGAUGAACAAAAGAAAACGGUAAUGGCAAUGCAUUGCACUUUUAGCCACCGACCUCUCUGUUGUAGUAAAUAACAGCUAAGUGAAAAUUUGACAUCUGUCAACUCUUAAACAGGGUUGGUAAUCGAGCCCACAAUACCUCUCACCAGUCACCACCACUGUUCUAAUCAGUCUAUAAAGCUUAAAACUGAACAAGACAGGAAGUGGAGGAGAUAAUUUCUCAGCAUCUGAUUGAUUCUGGGGUAUCCAAUUAUAAGCCAAAAAGAAACACCCGAUAAAGAACUUUUUGUGGGUACAUAUCACUUUAUUUUAGCUUCAAGGGGAUCAUGGCAAUGCCAAGUUCUUAGCAAUUGGAGUCUAAAUCUCAAUUGAAGAUCACUCCACACAAAUUUAAGAAGUAUGUUCACAUGCCAUUUCUAGGAACUUGUUUAUCAGUAUGUUUUGAAAGGAGCUUGUUGAGCUAUGGUUGGAUGUCUCAAAAGUGAUGGCUAACAAACAUCCUUAUCAUGUAACAUCUAUGAUUUCUAAUUCUAGAAGGAAAAUGAUGCAUGCUUUAGUUUCGUGUAGAUCACAAAACCCUACAGAAAGAGGCAUUUUUGAGUUUAAUGCAGAUAAAAAUGGGCAAAAAAGGAUAAACAUAAGAUUUAAGUGGUAAUUAAAAGGGUAAAUAAGGAUAAGGGGUUGAAAAAAAAGGGUUUCUGGUAGGUAGGGUUACUGCCUUACUUGGGUAGUGCCAUUUUACAUAGGCAAGUAAGGAAAAAGAGAGAGAGGUCUAGGACGACGACUUCAGAAUCCUAUAGGGAGAGGGAGAGCUGCUUUUACUUUAUGCUUUAUUUCUUAUUUCUUCGAGAUAUCCAAAAGGAUAGGGUGGGGAGGGAAGUGAAAAAGAAUCUUGAUUGACUUAGUGCUCUCCAAUCUAAUCAUAUGACAUAUUAUAGGAAGGUGUUUUUGAGAACUGAGACAAAAAUUUACUCAAGUAUAUGUCAGAAGGAUGUGCGCAAUUGUGAGGAAAAGUAUUGUGAAUAUGGCAGAGUUCACACUUUUUUUUUCAAAUGCAUAGUUUUCAAAGGUCUGAAUGAAAAACAAAAAUGAACAUUUUUCUCAAUGACUCUGCUUUACAACUGGAAAAGUUUCCUCAUGGUUUUUUUUUUUUUUGGUCUGAAAAAUGCCACAUUCCCCAGAUUCUUUUUUCACCCUGUCGGCUUAUCAGCGAUGUGCAUUUCAAGAAAGGAUAAACGGAUAAUUCAGCUCAGCCCACCCAGCAGAUUUUGCUCAAUCUAUCCCAGUGGGGUUACCGUCUUUUGUAAUAUUUUUCCCUAUCAAGCAUUUGACAAUCCUACAUUUUCAGCGUAUAUAUAACCAAAACAAAACAAUAUGGAGUUACAGAAUUCCUACACCCUUUUCUUGGUGGAAACAACUGCUAUAUUUUGGCAAGCAAACCAUCCAUUGGACAAGUGAGGGUGAGAAAAGUGUAAAAAGUAUAUUGAGAUCAUCAUUUCACGGGUUUAAUUGAGACGUCAUGGUAAGCUCAUCUAGCUUCAGAUAAACCUAUUGAUUAUGAUUGCCUUCCACAUCAAGAAAACCGAGCUGCAUUAUUGGGUUAUUAAUAGUUAAACAUCAACUUCAAAUGCCAAACAAGAUAAUUAGCCCAAAAAAUACACAAUUUUCAACUCUAAUUAGUACCGCUAUUGAAGGAAUGCUGGUUGAGAACUCCACUCACUCACUCCACUGCCUCGUAGAGUACGUAUGGCUAAAGUAGAAGGCAACGAAGCAAGCAACCAUAGGGAGUAAUGAACCCUGAAAAGAAGCAGUAGUUUUGGUCCCAGAAAAAGGAAAGAUGAGAGUAAAAGCUACAACCACCAAUCAACUUUUUCACCGCCUUUGUUUAUCCUCCAAUAAGCCUGCGCUGCACAUCAAUUCAUGUCAUGCUUGACAAUUCACUUGGAAACAUAUCUAGGGAGCAUAUUACCUCAAUUUCCUCCCUCUUCUCUCCUUUUCAAUCCAAUCAAACAAAACAAAAAAUCACUUGGUUUCCAGUUUCCACCACUCUUUCGUUUUUUAACUUCAAAUUGGGAUGGUAAACGACGUGCCACCGCCCACGUGAAUUAACUUUGACGCAAAAUUAAAAAGGAUGCGUGAAACAAAAAGUGAAAAAAAAAUUCACAUAGCUGUAGUUCUGCUGUUUUAUGCUUUAUUUGGAAUGCGAUGAAAAUCUCUCACACGUGCAUCCAAAGGGCCCUUAUUACAUAAAGCAAUAGAAUAUUUUCUUUAAUAAAUUGUAUAGAUUAUAUUCAGCAGCCAGUUAACAAAAUUUACUUGUUAAUUUUGACCAAAAAAAGGCAAAAAAAAAAAGGUACAUAAAAAAAACAAAAAGGAAAAUCUCCUCGGUGGAGUGAAGCAGCAUAUCAGCUACAAAAUUUAUGCUGCUCUAUUUGGUUGCCUGUAAAUCAGAUUUCUUUAAUCUCAAUCUAAGAAGCCGAAGCAAAAAAAGGUCACCUCACUAAAAUUCAAUCUUGUAUAUUUAAUUGUAACUCUAAUCUUGCGUUGAAGGAAAAGGAGCACAACACAAAGAGAUAUCAAUGCCAGCAACCUCCAUGGCAUUGCAGACCCAUUCAGGGACAUCUCCUUUAGGAAACUACAAGACGACAAAGCAUCAUAAGGUCCAAGAGCCAAAUAGAAAUUCGUAAAUAUUUGUAUAAAUGACCAGUUGAUCAAAUUAAUCUAAUAAAUGACCAAUUAAUGGAAUAUCAAAUUAAUCUAGUCUUCCUACUUUUGUCUGCAAAUUUAUGUUGUAAAGUUCGUGCAGCUAGGGUGGUAGCAGUUCAUGAUGGAGGGCGAAAUUGGAACAACAAAUGAAUGAUAAAAAUUGCACAAUCAACAUUCAGUGUCAAAACAUGAAAACAAGGAAAUGCCUAGAUACCAGCUAUUUGCCUUGGAAACUGAAGUCCUAAUGCUUGAAACUACAAAUUUUAAACUAGCAAGCAUAUCAUGUUAAAGGGGAAAAGGUUUCUAAAUAUGAUACCAAUCAUUUGACAUUUGAAUAUUAUACUGCUCUAAAAAGAUUGAUAAUAAACAAAUUCUUUUUUCCCUGCUGCUAGCUAAUAAGUAGGUGUUUAGCGGGCUAGUAAGAUGGUAAAUAAUGUCAGGUUAAAAGCACUUGGUGGCAUGGCAAUGUAAGUAUUUUAAACUGGGUUAUAGUCUUAUAGAUGCCAUCAUAUACUCAGAUCAGCACUGAAAACCUGAUGAUAUUUUAUCACUUAAAACUUAGGAGGAACAAAAACCUCAAAAUAAUUUUAAAUUUGACCCAACCAUUAGCAAAGACUGAAGUAGAUUACACAAGUAGACAAAAUUAAAAGAUGAAGGAUGUGAAGCACAACUGGAAAGCCAUUAACAUUUUAGAAAAAAUCAAUGGCAGGAGGAAAGAGAGAGAUGGAAAUACCAUUUUCUGCAAAAAACUGCAUACAAACCUGCAAAAAAGAUUUAGAAAGUAAAUUAGCUUUUACCGCAUGAAGCAAAAUGAGAAAUAAAAAUAAAUGAAAGCUGGACAAAGCAAGAGGCAAACAUACUCAGGAAACCUCCCCUGGACCAUGGAUGAGUGUAGAUUUCUGCUAAGCUGCAAUUGUCAAAGAUUUACUCACAGUCAUUAAAAAAAGUAAACAUGAAAGCAGCAAAGCUUAAAACAUAGAAACUUUAAGGUUGUACCUGCAUCAUAUAAUAUAAAUUAUGAUAUGAAAGAAGCUGAGAUCCCAUGGCAUCCUUUGCAACAAGAGAAUGGAUGUAGGCCCUCGUGUAAUUCUUGCAUACCUAUAUUUGCGUAAAUAGAGUAAUGCCAUGAUAUACCAAAAAAAUAAAUUCAUAUACCAACAAUUUUAAGCAACUGUGUCAUGAAAUGCAUACCAUACAAGCACAUGUAGGAUCAAUAGGGCGAGUAUCCUCAGCCAUUGCCCUCUGCUUGAGUUUAAGCACUCCCUGCAAUAAGUACUUGAAUAACAUCAGAAUACUAAAAUUACAUUUUAAAUAAAAAAAAUGGGGUGUAUUUAAUACCCUUUAGCAUCACAAUCCCUAUAGAGCAUGUGCCAGUAACUUAUUAAAAUUCAUAAUAGAAAUAUCAAUUCAUAGGCAGGUAAACUUAUGAGACCAAACUUGUCGCAUAACUAUAGAUACAAGGGUUAACAAAACACACUAGGCACAAGUUAUAGUAACACAUUCAAUGAGAACAAUACUAGAAGGCAAACAGAAAGGAUGGCAAGCUGUAGCUUAGAGCAAUAAACUCCAUUCAUAUGUAAACCAAAGUAUAUGAUAGCACUCGGUGAACAAGAUUCAAAACAUUAACUCCAAAAACUUUGUAAACAUAUCACCUCAGGAACAAGGGCAGUGCCAAAACGAGCAGUUCGAGUAGGAUAAACACAGUCAUACAUGUCAGCACCUAAUGCACUACAAACUACAACAUCCAGUGGAUACCCAACACCCUGAAACGUAGAAAGCACAAAUAUAAUGAUACAGAGAAAUCUAAAUGGAGGAAAAAAAGGUAGUUCUUCAGAAUCUAAAGAUAUAGAUUACAAUGAUAAAACUCAUUUGUACCAUGACAUAUCGCGGUUUAUCUUCAGGCAGUGCUGCAGUACACUGAGCAACAACACGCCAAAAUGAAUCUUUAUCUUCACCGCCUGCAAGACCACCAAUAGCAUAGCUGUCACACAAGUGAACUUAGUUAAUUCAGCUUGUUGUUUACUGAAUCUUUAUGCUGUUAGCAAAAAGCUAGUAGUAAAGAGAAUCUAAUAUUUAUGAAUGUUAACAACAACAGAAAGAGAGCUGAAACAGAAACUGCCGGGUAAGUUGAGUAAUUAUAGGUGAAUAAAAGCAAGUAAUUAGCAAAAGUAGAUCAUAAAACAAACAAUAAAGAAAGGCAAUCAAAAUAGCUAACAACGAUCCUUUCAUUACUUGCUUUGCAAAUUUACCACAUGGGCUAUAACAAUACCAGGCAUCUAGGUUAUCCUAGCCUUAACAUCUCUCAAGAAUAAUAAUAAUGCUAGGAAUCAGAGAGAUUUAGAUAUUGAGUUAUAUUUUCUUAAAUAAUCAAAUAGUAAAAUCAACCUUUUAUUUUCUAGUCCUGGAAAACUGACUUAGAUAUUGAAAUGCAAUGUGGAAAAUUCUAUGGCAACUUGCUAAAGUAUGAAACAUCAAGAUCUUAUCAUCUACUAUAAAAAGAUCAUAGGAAACAUAGCAUCAGUAGGACAGUAUUCCUUGAUAUAGAAUGCACAUACCCUGGUAAAUUUCGAUCCACCAACCCUCUAACACAUAUAUCCCUGAUAAAAACAGGUAUCAGAAAAGGGUAAAAAAUUACUAGAAGUACCAUUAGCAAUUGAAAGCGGGGGUAAAACACACAUCAAAUAGCAAGGUUGCAAGAGGAAGAUCAGAGAUUCACCUUAGUACUGGAUCUAAACCACCUUGUACAAUACCAAACAAGUUCUGCUCAUGUGGUCUUUUAUGAGCUGCCAGAAGAUCAAGGCAGCAAAAAAAGACCUAACUCAAUCAGAAAUGCCACCAUUACGAGAAUGACAAUAUUAAAUAACCACUACUUAAGACCAGUACCUAAUUAAAAAAAGGGACACCAGAAAGAGCUAUGGUUACAUGAGUGAUGGAAAAUUGAGGGAUCCAAGUGCAAAAGGUAAAGGCUGAUAUUUAAUGAAAUAAAUGACAUUAAACAAUAACAUUGUGUUGAUAUUGCAUAAUUAUAACACACUGGCUAAGCACAUUUAAAAAAGCUUUAAAGUCCAAGUACGCAAGCCUGAUACAAGAUAAUUCACCCUAACAAGCUCAAGGACAGGUACACAAGGCAAAAUGUUUAUUUAAAAGUUAAACCAUUGGUAAAUUAUAUGUUUUUCAGCCAAAUGGUUAAUCCAUCAAUGCAAGAAUCAUGAGUGACAGACAGUCUUAAGCAUUAUUACCAGCUAUACAUCUGUCCAUCCAACGAAGGGUACGAUACAUGGCCUCUUCAAUUCGUGGACCAGUAAUAGUAGUUUUCACCACAUCAUCAAGAGCCAUUAUGAUAUCUGCUCCAAUUCUAUUCUGUAUAAUUAUUGGGAGAUGACAAAGUUAAAAUGGAAUGAAUUACAAAGACAAUAAGCCCGAGAAAGUUUUAGGAAUUUACUGUUAAGGGCUAAAAGAGUAAAGGAUCAAGGAUAAAAAGUUAAGGCACAUAAAAUAAGUUCUGUUAAUAUAUAGACAAAAGCAUAAGGUUUUGAUAGCAACUGGUCCUUGGUUUUUGGUAGAUCUUUAAACUGCUGACCGUUACAAACUAAUAAACACCUAAGUAAAACUACCACCAACAUCAUGUACUGACAGUAAAAAAUCUGUGUAAAUUACACUAUCAAGCAUUUGAAAACAAGCACCCCUUGUUUAUAAAGAAUCAACCUUUUAAGUCAACAAAAUUUCAAUUCAUUGCUUAAAACAGACCAAUUACUUUGUUGAACGACAAUCGAGAAUAACAAAAAAGCCUCCUCUCAUCCCAUUAAUAUGAACCAGUGUUACAAAAUUUAGGGGGAAGAGAGAACUAAGUUUUUAUCACAAUAUAUAACCUAACAGGAAUAACAAAAGUAAGCUAAAGAAAAGCACCUACUUGGAUUUGAAUAGAUUCCUCUGGUGUUAGAAGCAUUUGCUUUCCAUCUACUGGGGACUGAGUUAAGGAACAUGAAGACUUGGUUACAAGUAAAACAACACAAAAGCAAGAAAGGAUUAACAAUGAAGAAGUACACUUGCAGCUAAUACUUAAGCAGAUUAUUAUGUUACAACUCAUUUUCAUUACAUAGAAUUCCAAAAUUUCAUGAAUACCAACGAAAAAUAAGAAUAAAGAAAACAAUUACCUGAAAUGUUACACCCUUUUCAGUGAUGUCAGCUAAAUGCAGCAGUGAUACCUAUAAAGUAAUCAGCAAAAGAGAUUGUACACUUUAACACAUAUAUCACUAAAACUGAAGACUAUUGUGGAUGAAGAUCUUCAAUGAAUGUGAUCAUCCAAAAUUAUACACACUUGAGAUCAUGACUUAAGGAGUGCAGUAACAAUGUUAUCAAAAUUUAGAGAAAGGAAAAUGAGCAAACAUCAUAGUUUCUAAAUUCUUGUUCUUUUUUAUCUUAAGAUGCUCAUGCACAGAAGCCACAGAAACUGUACAUAGGCAUGCACAUAAUCACAAGUAAGUGAAAAAUUUUAAGAAAAGGAUAAACAAUAUAGUGAACCAAAAAAAUUAGAGAAAUACAGCGCUGUGUCAAAUCAUAAGACAACCAUCUGAAAGCCUCCUGAAUCAGUCAGCAGUGCUCUAGGCCAGUUCAUAAAUUUGUGAAGACCACCCAAUUCAUCAAUAAGCUCAGACGUAGGACGAAGUGCCAGGUGAUAUGUAUUCCCAAGAAUUAUUUGACAACCAAUCUCCUCAAGCUGGUUAGUUGUUAAACCUUUUAUUGUACCUACAAAGAGGAGGACCAACCAUGUCUUCUAGUCAAACAAUCUAAGACAUCAAAGGCACACAAUGCAGUGAGUUGAUGCAUGCUAAAGUGUUUGAACAUACUGACACUUGCAAGCAUUUAAUGCCAAAUUAUUUGUAGCAAACACGUGAAUGCAAGUCAAAGUUGUUUUAGACUCUUAAGAAAGCAGUAAAUUGAUAGAGAGGUAAAGUAUAGAGUGCAGGGCAUGUGUAUUCAAGGAAUUCUUUUCUCUCGUAUGCUAAGAAGUCAAAACUCACUGCCUUGUAUGUUAGAUCCAUCUUGAACAAUCCAUGCUCAAUGUGCUUUCUACUGAAAGCAAUACUGGAUACUUAUAUUCACAACUAGUCAUCAGUAGAAUCAAAUAUUAACAUAUUCAUCGCCUUUUUCUUGUUGAAGAGGAAGACAUACGAGUCUUCUUGGUUUUAAAAGGUUAUGAGAAUAUACAAGCUGAGAACAACAACAAAGAAUUAAUAAGGACAUUGACGUGAAACAUCUGAAAAGACUUUUAAAAAACCAUCUAAAGUUUAAUAUAUUUGCAACCCUAAAAGAUUUAAGAUCCCGAUAAAUUGUUCUGAAUAUCCUAAAUAUGCUAAGAAUGCGUAUGAUAUUAAACACUCCAACCUUGAGUUCCCACAGGCAUAAACAGAGGUGUCUGGCAUACAAAGUGGGGGAGCGUUAGUUGAGCCGCCCGAGCAUGAUUAAACCUCCCUAGAACCUAUCAAAACCAGAAACAAAUUUCUAUAUUAGCAAACAACCAAAGCUCCCUAGGCGAAAUCAGAAAACAUGAUUAAAAUUAGAACCAUCAAGACUGAGAAGAAUAAAACAUUAUCACGUCCAUUAAUUAAAAUUUAAAAUAUCCCCAUAAUCCAGGAACACAAGUAAUAACUAGUAUGAAGAAACCAUUACCCAAAAGAAACAGAAAAUGUUUAAAAAAAUAAAGGUCAAGCAACUUCCAUUAAGAGAGAUUCUUCCAUUAAAAAGUUAAAAACAGUUGCUACAAAUCAUCAUUUUCAACCGCUGCUAUUUUCCUUUAAUUUUUUUCCAUUAUUUCACAGACGGAAGACAAAAUAAUAAAAAAAAAUCUAACACUAAGAGGAGGCAGCGUAUACCUAUUUGUUAAUUUAAGAUGAUUUUGGCUCAAAAAUUAAAUAUAAAAAAUGCAGCAUUCAAAACUUAAAGUCCGACCUCGAAACGAAGCGCCAUCAAACAAUUUUCUCUCCCGUUCCUUUAGCUGUAUAUGGAUAAGGCUGUAACUUGCAUAUUAGGAGAAAAAAAAAACAUUAACAAAGUUAGUUCCAAAUAUAAAAGAAAAGACAACAAAAGCACCGCAGCUGUUAUCAGUUAAGUUUACCAUGCUAUCUCGCAUAAGAACGCUAAAAACAAACCAGGAAGAAACAAAGCGAGGAGUAGAGGAUGGAAACUUACGCAAAGAGAUGGAGGAGGAGGAGGAUAUUCCGUCAAAGAAGGCGAGAAAAAGGAUAUUGGCGGCGGAUAAAAUGCACUACUAUGCGGAAGAGAAAGAGAUGUCCUAUCUGCUAUCUCUCCGCAGCGGCUUUGUUUUCAACUGUGAGCAUAGACGGAUUCAAAAUUUAUGUUCAACUAAUAUAAAUAAUAUUAAAUAUAUAAAUAUAAAUUAACUCAAAUAUAUAAAAUAUUAUUUUGUUUAUACACAAAGAUAAUAUAUUAUAAUUAUUUUUUAGAUAACAUAUUAUAAUUAUUUUUUAUCAAAUUUCUUAUUGAGAAAAUAAUUUUUUUAAACAUUAUCUUUUUCAUUGGGAAUAGUUUAAAAUCUUUUUUAUAACUUUAAAUUAAUGAAAAUCAUUUAGAUAUAAUUAAAUAUGAAUUUAUUUUAUAAAAUGUUGUAUAUCACUAUUAUUAAUUUCGAAUGAUUACUUUAAAAUUGAUUUUUUUUAAUAAAAUAUUUCUUCAAAUCUAAAUAAAUUAGAGAAUUUAAUUUAUAUAAUUUCUAAUAAAUAAGAAGAUAAUGUUACCGUUUACAUUAGAUAUUGAAAUAUAAUUAUUCAAAUAAAAUCAACAUGUAUAUUUUAUUAUGUAUUUUGAAUUUAAUUAAAUAAUAUAAUUUUAUAUAUAAAAAUAAUUUCAUAAAAUUUAAAUUAUUUUAUUGAUCAACUUAAGAAAAUAUAACAUUUUUUUAUCUUAAUCCACUUAUAAUAUAAAUAUAAAUAUAAAUAAAUCAUAAAUUAAGUACCAAAUCAAAUUAUUUUAUCAUAUAAAAAAAUUUAUAUAGUAAACAAAUAUUUUAUCACAAAAGCAAACGAUAAUAAAUAUAAAAAAAUAAAAAACGUAAUUACUUACUUAAAUAUAUUGAUGGAAGAAAAAAAAUGUUCACUCCUUAAUUUAUUUCUUUAGUUUAUUGGCAUUUUUUUUUUGUUCUUUUGUUAUUUUUUAACUUCUAUUCUUUAUCUAUUGCAAUUUUUAUGGGUUUGAACCAAGGGAAAAAUUAUAAGUAGAAUAAAAAAAUCACUUUUUAUUUUACUUUAAUUGUUUUUUAAAUGAAAUGUUAAUUCUUAAAUAAAAAUUAUUUAUAAAAGUUUAUUUUACUUAUAUUUAUGCAUGUGAUCUUAUUAUUUUUGUAAAAUAAAUAAUUUAUAUUACAAUUAUAAUUCUAUUUUUUAAACUAUAUUUAUAAAAAUAUCAUAUAUAUUUUAUUUUUUUAUUUUUAGUAGAGGUAAAUUAUAAAAAAAUUAAAAUUUUUAAAAACUUUUAUAAUAAUUUAUAAGGGCAUUAGCAUCUCAAUGGGGUACCCCACUCUGGAUCCGCCCUUGAUUGUGAGUGCCGGGCGCAGGUUUUUUUCUUUCUUUUUUGCUUUGUUUUUUUCGUUUCUUUGUUGUUUUCUUGGCUUUCGGUUUCCCGGCACGCCUUGAUGGAUGUAUUUGAUAAGGGUGCAGAACAGCUGUCCAAGUUCCAACGGUUUUUUUGUACUGAAUACGUGGCAGGUCAGGUCGGUCAUGAAGUCAACUGAGCCCAAUAUUUAUUAUGACAGCCCUUACACUGCCCAGAGGCCUAUAGUUGAAAACGGGCCAGUCAAAGCACGAUGUUGCGGACUUGGUUGGUAGCUUGGAAAUGGAGAUUGGAUUUAUCUACAACUUACCAGUAAUCUGUAUAGAAUAUAAUAAUCAGUCUAUAAUCUAUAUAUAUUAUACAAGUGUCGAAUGAUAAUUUUUUGAAUUGAAAAAAAUAAAUGUCAUUUUUUGAAAAUUAUUUUUUAUUAGUUAGUUUAUUGAUUUUAAGUAAUCUAGUUUUAAUUCAAUUCUUUCAUUAUUAUACAAAUCGAUUUUUUCAAUAAAGUUGUAAUCCUGUUACAAUUAUACAAUUUAAAUAUAAUUAUUAUUUAUGUUGAUUUUUAUAGUCAAUUUCAAUUGCACUUUUUGAUCUCACUCUAUAUCAUCUUCUUCUAAAUUAGAAAAUAAAAAUCAAGUUGUUACAAUUAAUAACUAGUUCAAUUUUAUUUUUUUAUUUAUAAUACGUGAAUAUUAAAUCAACGUACUUUUUAACAACUUAAAUAAUAAAGGUAAUGAAAUUACUCAAAGAAUGUUUAAACUUUUAUUUUAUUUUUAAAGACGAUGAACUUCUUUUAGUACAUUAUUAUUAUUGUUAUUAUUAUUAUAAAAAUAUACUAAAAAUAUAAUUCACGUACAGAUGUAAUAUUUUUCAUUAACAUGUUUUAAUUUAUGUGUACUAUAUAAGAAUAUAUUAGUAAUAUACAUUGUACGUCAUCAUAUAUUAAUAUAUACUUUUUUGUCUCUUUUUUUUUAAUGUAAAAAAUUAUGUCAUAUUUUUUAAAUGUAUAAAACUUUUAUUUUUUAUAUUUUAAAAUAUUUUUUUAAUAUUAAAAAUAAAAAACUUUAAUUUGAUAAAAAAAUUUAAAAUUUAAUACUAAACACAUUAAAGUCAAAAUAUUUUUUAAAUUUCAUGAAAAUCAAUAAUAUUCCAAUAAUUUGGGAAGAACAAAUAUAAAAUAUUUUAAAAUGAUGAAAAUGUAAAUUAAUAUUCAUUAUAUUUCUAAAUUUUUAUUUUAUUUUAUUGAGCAAAGCCAAUAAGCAAGUAGUUAAACAUGAAAGACACGAUUAAACUUGACAAACCACUUUUAGAUGUCUAAGUUAUUAACAAAUAAUUAAAUUCACUCAAAAUAGAAUGAGCUUAAAUAUCUAUUUUUACAAUAUGACUCCAAUGGGAGCUAAAUUUCUUGUAAACAUGUCUAAUUUGUUCCAACAACAUGCUUGUUUCCGCUUAUUUAUUCCACCAAACACAAACACAUGGAAAGAAGAUUGAUCUACUCCCAAAUUUGAGCAGUCUCUUCUUACUACAUUUUCUUUAUCCUGAUACUAUUUCUAUUUGAACUCACGCAAUCUGGACACUUACGGGCAUGCAUGUACUUGUAACAAUUUCCAACAUUUCUCAUUGAACUUUCCUUUCUUUAGAUUAGAUCUCCGUUUCCCUCGAUUUACUAAACCCUAACUCGAUCCCAUUGCCACUGCGAUCAAAGCUUCCUCUUAUUCUCUCUCUCUCGUUCGAUCCACUAAAUGCUCGAAAUUUCUUUUUGCUAAUGAUUUGCUUCGCUAACUGAUUGAUUGACUUGUGUAUAGAGGGGGAGGAGAUUGAAUGAUCUAUAAAAAUGCCGCACAUUCCGGCGACGAUCGAGGAACAGUUAUUUUUGAAAGCGAUGAGGGAAGAAUGCCUGUGGGAGAAUUUGCCUAAACGGCUUCAAGCCACUCUUAAUUCCAAAGAAGAAUGGCACAGAAGGUUAGUUUGGAUUCUGCUGCUUUCUUUUCUUUUACUUUUUUUAACGGCAGCUAUAAGGAUCAUUUAGUUUGUAGCUUUGAAAAAACUGAAUAUUUUGUUUUAGAGAGUAAAUUUAGGAUCAAUUUGCCAAACAGAGCAGAUUAUAAUUGUUAGUUUUCUUCUUCUAAGAGGAAGUACUUACUUCAUGCUUAAUAAAUGAUUGAUGGAUUAGUUAUGUUAUGGCAAGGGAGUUAUGUGAAAUAGUCAAUGAAAUUAAUUGGAAAUUUGAACUGGCAUUGCUCUUUUAUAGCCAUUGUGAGAAAGAUCUUUGGGACUUAGGCAGAUUGGACCAUGUUUCUUCUGUGUGUCGAGGUUUGUCUUCCCCAAAUAAGAAUUUGUGCAUAGAUGAUUUGGUUAAAUGAUUUGAUGGAUCAUCCAGCAUUCAAGUGUUGUAGAAUUUGCUUUGUAAUAGUGAUCUGUAAUUUGGCAUGCUUCUGUUGUUUAGCCCUCUAUCUUGAAGCAAUAUACGCUUCUUAGGUUUUGGAAAAUGUAGCUUUUUUUGGUAUUUCAUGUUAGAAAAAAUAAAUAAGAGAAGAAAAAUAAUAGAAAAGAAUUUUUGGUUUGAGGUGUGAAGAACACUUUUUUAAAGGCAAUUAUGCCUUUAGGAUACAAUAAAACCUUAAACUCUCCAAUUAGAAAUAGUGAAAAUGGUUAUAUUGAAAGAUUUAUGUAUAAUGAAUGAACAGACAUAAAUUUUUAUUUAGAUGGUUAUGACCUUUUGUAUAAUCAUAACCUUUAUGAAUAAUAAUCUAUUUAUAUUCAAAUAAUGAAUGAACAGACAUAAAUUUCUAUUCAGAUGGUUAUGACCUUUUGUAUAAUCAUAACUUUUAUAAAUAAUAAUCUAUUUAUAUUCAAAUGGUUAUGACCAUUUGUCAUAUGAUAAUUAUUUCUGUUUAACCAUAAUUAUUUAAAAUAUGAAUAAAAUUAAUACAAAAAUUAAUUUUAUUCAUCAAUAAUUAAAUCUUUCUAUUUAAUGCAAGAUGCACCACAUUCUAAACUACCAAUAGUCUUUCACUUUGGAAUGUUGGUGCUUACUUUUUAACCUUUUAUGCAAAUAAAAUAUUAUAAAUACAAUAAGGUAUCUCUCGAUUUAAACCUUCAAUUAGCAUAUAUAUCUUACAAUUAAUAUUUAUACGUGUCAAAAUGUUUAAAUUUGUUAGAAUAAAUUUUUGUAGUAAUAAAUAAUUAAUCAAUAAAUAAAAAUAAAUGAUAAAAUAUUUAAUUAAAAUUUUUGAUAAUUUGUUAAGUUUAAAAUAAACCUUAAAAAAUAAUAAUAAUUAAAAUAAUAAAAAUCAUUUAAUAAAAAUAAUAAAAAACGGUUCGGUCAAUGCAAGUUUGGUUGGUUUGACGGUUCAGUCUGGUUCAACUAGAUCAGUCAGAAGUUGAAGGAUUCUGGGUUGUUGGGUCGGGUGCAUGGACCCUUGGUCAGGCUAGGGUCGACGCACAGAUCUUUUGAGUAUUAAACGACGUUAUUUUGGUUUUGGUAGCAACUAUAAAAGCCUAAAAUUUUUUUAUUCAUUUUCUCUCUUCCUUUUCUCUCUUUACCCCUUUAUCUUCUAGAUUCUCUCUGUCUAACUUCAAUUGGCUGCCACUACUCCCAGAAUUUGGUGUUAGUGCACCAUGCCAUUCGUUGAUUGUCGUAGCCGUCCACCGGUCGUUGGUUGCUAGAAAACCCAAAAACUUCAAAAAGACCUUCGCCUUAACCCUUAAAUAUAGAUCCGAGUCUAAUUUUACGAGAAACGACGUUAAACUAUGUAGAUUGAGGCCUAAAGUUACGGUAAAAAAUGUUUUUUUUUUGUGUUUUUCAUUUUUUAACGCUGUUGGUCCCUGUUACCAGGGGUUGUGAUUUCUUUUGAUUUGUGUUUAUUUGGCUCGUUUUGUGUUUUGAUUUUUUUAACAGAGAUUUUUUUUUUUGGGAUUUGUCAAAAAGUUUUUUCUGGUAUUUUCAUUUUUUGCAAGGUUUCUCUUUUGAUGGUCUCUUCUUCUCCUAUAGAUCCUUUGUGGCUCUAUUUAUAAAGCCAGAUCAAAAUCAAAAUCAAAAUCUUAGAUUUUUUGAGAUUUUGUUGAACUUUGGUUGCCUAUGAUUAGAGUGGCUGCCGAUGGCUGUCAGGGUGGUGACCAACGACUGUUAGAGUUGCUGCCAAUGCAGCUGCUGACGGCUGGCAAAAAAGGUAAUAGAAAAAGAAAAAAUAAGAAAAUAAGAAAAAUACUAAUAAAUAAAUAAAAUGAUGUUUACAGUUAUCCUUUUUGUCGGUUUACAACUCAAGUCAAAUCUAUCUUUCUUUUUAUAUAUUGUCGGUGGCUUCGUGAUUCCUUAUAGAUUCUUUCCAAGUUUGGCUUUAGGUUACCAUCCUAUCCCAGUAAGCUGCUUGACGACCAUUUUAGUAGUCGUAGACAGAUGCGGUGAAUAUAAUUUAGAUCCUUCAGCCACAUACGUUGCGUUGGCAAUCUCAAAAGAUCUAUAAGAGCACUCUAGUGCUUUAUCUGUCGAUUCCAUAUAAAGAGUAUUUAUCGGUUAGGUUACCAGUAAAACUUCUUCUUCUACCACACAGGUUAGCUUUCCAUCAAUAAUGAAUUUGACUUUUUAAUGCAAUGAGGAUGAAAUGGCACUUGCAAUAUAAAUCUACGGCUUACCUAACAAGCAACUAUAUGGGGAAAAGAUAUCCAUAACUUAAAAUUUCACUUAAAAUUUCACAUUGAAAAUGCAAGAACCAAUCUGUAAUGGCAUUUUUAUAUCUCAUAGCACUUCUCUUCGGGUCCCAUCGAAGGCUCGAACUACUAUAUGACUAGGUUUCAUGUAAGAUCCAUCAACAAGUAGUUUCGUCAAAGUAGUCACAGGCAUAACAUUGAUGAAUAAGCCAUUAUCGAUCAAAAUCUUAGCCAUUAUAUGACUUUUGUAUUUUACUGUGAAGAGCCUUAGUACUUUCUCGACCUUCAGGAGAAAUUUCUUCAUCAUUGAAAGAGAUGUAGUUUGAGAUUGUCAGAUUGCCAACCAGCUAUUCCACGUAUUCAACAGAGACAUUGUGAGACAUAUAUGCUUGAUUAAGCACCUUCAAUAAAAUAUUAUGGUGCGACUCUGAGCUAAGCAAUAAUUAUAAUAGUGAAGUUAUAGCUGACAUCUUGUUUAACUGUUUUAUCAUGCUAUACUUGUUAUGUUUUAUUAGCUUUAAAAAUUCAUAAGCUUCACUCUCAGAGAUUGGCUCUGACAUUCUUUAUCUGGGACUACAAUAGGAUUACUUUGACUUUCCUAUUCUUCUUCCAUCUUUGCUUUAUCUUUUCUAGCUUUCUCUAAAGUUUUUGAAGUAUAACAUCUCCCACUUCGAGUUAUACCUCUUACGUCUGUUAUGUUUGUAGUAUCUAAAUUAACUACAAUAUCAUAAUCGUACUUUUAUGGUAAUACUUCCCCAUACUAUAAUGAUAAAGCAGUACCUAGUAAACUUUCUAGACGAAGCCAAGGAUUAUUAUGAGCAAGUAUCAUGGAAGUACGAUUGUGAUGUUGUAGUUAAUCUAGAUACUACAAACAUAACAGGUGUAAGAGGUAUAACUCGAAGUGGAAGAUGUUAUACUCUGAAAACAUUAGAGAAAGCUAGAAAAGAGAAAGUAAAAGUGGGAGAAGAAGAGGGAAGUCAGAGUAAUUCUGUUGCAGUCCCAGAUAAAGAAUGUCAGAAAUUGAUCUCUGAGAUUGAAGCUUAUGAAUUUUUAAAGCUAAUAAAACAUAGUGAGUAUAGCGUGGUAGAAUAGUUGAACAAGAUGCUAGCUAGAAUUUUGCUAUUGUCAUUAUUGCUUAGCUUAAAGUCACAUUGUACUGCUUUACUAAAGGUGCGUAAUCGAGUUUAUGUGUCACACAAUGUUUCUGUUGAAUACGUGAAAUAGCUUGUUGGCAAUCUAAUAAUCUCAAACUACAUCUCUUUCAGUGAUGAAAAAAUUCCUUUUAAAGGUCAAGAAAGUAUUAAGGAUCUCUACAUUAUUGUAAAAUGCAAAAGUCAUAUAAUGGGUAAAGUUUUGAUCGAUAAUGGCUCAUCUAUCAAUGUUAUGCUUAUGACUACUUUGGUAAAACUACCUGUUGAUGAAUCUUACAUAAAGCCUAAUCAUAUGGUAGUUCGAGCCUUAGAUGGGACCCGACGAGAGGUACUAGGAGAUAUAAAAAUGCCAUUACAAAUUGGUUUCUUACAUUUUCAAUAUGAAAUUCCAAGUUAUGGAUAUCUCUCCCACAUACAGUUGCUUGUUAAGUAGGUCAUAGAUUCAUAUGGCAGGUGCCGUUCCAUCUUCAUUGUAAUAGAAAGUCAAAUUCAUUAUUGAUGAAAAGCUGACAUGUGUGGCAGAAGAAAAAGAUUUAUUGGCAACCCAAUCAGUAAAUACUCUUUAUGUGGAAUCAACAGAUGAAACACUAAAGUGCUCUUAUAGAUCUUUUGAUAUUAUCAACGUAACAUAUAUGGCUAAAGGAUCUAAAUUAUAUUCACUGCACUCAUCUACGACUACUAAAAUGGUUGUCAAGCAAUUUACUGGGAUGCGAUGACAACUUCAAGCAGGACUUAGAAAGAAUCUACAAGGAAUCACAAAGUCAUCAACAAUAUAUGAAAAGAAAGAUAGAUUCAGCUUAGGUUAUAAACCGAUAAGAGGGGUAGCUGUAAACACCAUUUUAUUUAUUAUUAUUAUUAUUUUGGCACUUUUCUAUUAGUCACCGGUAACCGUACUACCAGUAGUUCUGAUAAUUGCCAAUCGCCACCCUUACAGCCAUUGGUAGCCACUCUAACCCUGAGCAACCAAAGUUCAGCAAAAUCUUAAAAGAUCUAGGAUUUUGAUUUCGAUCUAGCUCUAUAAAUAAAGCCAUAAAGAAUCCACAGGAGAAUAAGAGGCUAUCGAAAGAGAAACCCUGCAAAAAAUAAAAAUACCAAAAAAAAUUCUACCAGAUCCUAAAAGUAAAAAUCUCUAUCAAAAAAAUCAAAACACAAAACGAGCCAAACAAACACAAAUAAAAAGAAAUCACAACCCAUAGUAACAUGGACUAACAGUGCCAAAAAAUGAAAAACAGAAAAAAAAUAUUUUUGGCCGUAACUUUUAGCUCGAUCUACACAGUUUGAGGUCGUUUCUCGUAAAAUUAUACUCGGAUCUAUGUUUAAGGGUUGAAAGCAAGGUUUUUUUUUAAGUUUUUAGGUUUUUCAGCAACCGACGGAUGGCGACGGUGAUUGACAAACGACACGACGCACCAGAGCCUGAUUCUGAGAGCAGCGAUGGUUGGCUAGAGUUAGAAAGAGAGAGUCUAGAAAAGAGAGAAGGGUAAAGAAAGGGAAGGGAGAAAAUGAAUAAAAAUUUUUAGGCUUUUAUAGUUGUUGUCAAGAUCGAAACGACAUUGUUUAGGAUCCGAAGGAUCCGUGCGUUGACCCGAGACACGACUUGGUCUGUGCACCCGACCUAGCAUCCCUUAGCUUUUGAUCGGACUAAACCGUUGAACCGACCGAACCCACAUUAAUCUGGAACGGUUCAGGUAAAAUUUUUUUUUUAAUUUUUUGAAUUUUUUUAAUAAUAUUAUUUUUAUUAUUUUAAAUAUUAUUAUUAAUAUUUAUGCAUGUUAAAAUAUUUAAAUUUGUUAUAAUAAUUUUUUGUAGUAAUAAAUAAUUAAUCAAUAAAUAAAAAUAAAUGAUAAAAUAUAUAGUUAAAAUUUUUGAUAAUUUUAUUAAUUUUAAAAUAGACCUUAUAAAAUAAUAAUAAAAAUAAUAAAAAACAUAAGAAAAAAAUUUUUUAUCCGACGAUAAGAUUCAAAGGUACUCCGAGUAGUGAUACCUACGAAAUCUCUAGGUGAGAAUGUUUUUUUUAAAUACUACCAACGUAUUGGAUUAUUUAUAAAGAGUUUUCAUUAUAAUAAAAUUUGUUUGCUAAAGUAGUAAAUAAAAAUUAAUUAAUUUGUUAAAAAUAAAAUAAUAAAGAAUGAGGAAAAAGAAAAUAUUAUCCGAAAAUAAGAUUCUAAAAGUAUUUCAAGUAAUGAUGCUUUAUGAAAUCCCUAAGUGAGGAGUUUUUUUAAGUAUUACCAGUGUAUUCGAAUAUUUAUAAAAAUCUUUAAUAUGAUAAAAUUUUCUCUUUUCUUCAAUAAAACAGUAAAAAUAAUAAUUCACUAAAUAAAGUCAAUAAAUUUUCUAAAGAAGAAAAUAAUAUAUGUGCAUCAACAUAUUAGCAUUUUGCAUUGCAUGCAUAACAUAGUUUUUUCUUACGAAAAAUAAAUCUAAGUCUCCGAAGAUUAGAUUCUAAGGUAUUCUGAUAAGCGAUGCCUGAAAAAUCUCUAAGUGAGAAAGAGUUCUUUUAAUGUUAACAAUGUACUGGAACAUUUUAAGAAUUAUUUCAAUAAAAAUGUUAUAAUUUAUUUUUCUUGAAUAUAAAUGGAACAAGAAAUAAUAAAAGAUAUUUUAAAAAAAACCAAAAUUUCAAUAAAAAAAUUAAGGAAAUUAUUUUUCAAACGUCGAAAAUAAGACUGUUUUUAUCAAAAUCAAUGGAUAACACGUAAUUAAUUGGUACCAUUUUAAACGAGUGCUUUGGGUUAUUAAUUCUUCCUCACGCGUAACUGAUUCCCGGACCCAGAUUGUUUCACAGGCCUUAAAAUUAUCUUUUAAAUAAAUUUUAAUUAAUUUUAAUAUUUUAUUAAAAGGAUAUGUUUUAAUAGAUGACCAAUCGCACCUAGUCAAAAACGAUUGGUGGCGACUCUAUUUUUCAUUUUUUUCUUUUCAUUUCCAAACUCAUCAAACAGACACAAAACUGUUAUGAUAGUUAUCAUGAGUUUUCAAUGCAUAUAUUAAUUGCCCAAUGCCCAAUUCCAAGUUAAUGACUAUUGAAAUCUUUAAACUUGAUUUCAAAUUUUUAUGAAAACUUUAUUUCUUCACUAUUGUGCAGCCGAUAUAUCUCUGUUAUUUACCACUUUUAAUUGAUCAUAACAUGUUUGGAUAUAUAAUAAAUUCAAACUUUACUCAUAGGACCAAUAUGCCUAUGUACAAUAAGAGUCCAUUGUAUAUUUAACUUUAAUUUCAAAUACUUUCACAAUCAUUUUGUAAUCAAUAUGUUUAUAUCUAGAUUACCAUAUCAACGCAAGUCAUGAACAUGAAUCCAAAGAAUCAUUUUCAUAAAAUAGUAUAAACAAUAAAUAUAAUAUGAGUUCUACUUAUAUUUCAUGCAAAAACUCAUGAUGAAUUUGCAUUGGUAAAUUAUUGAUUAGCUAACUUUAAGGCUUACGGCUUUCACAAACCACUAUUAUUAUCUAAGCCCAUAUGCUAAUUUGGUGUGUAACUAGCCACAUCCUUGCCAUUGUCAUGAAACUAUUGAAAACCUUGGAAACUUGUUCACUUUUCAUUUUAACAACCUGCAAAAAGUCAUUUUUUCGGGUACAAGAAGCAAAAAUGUCUUUAUUGUCUUUAACCAAUAAUAUAUUAAUUUGAUGAUGGCAUUUUUAUCUCUAUAGUCCAUAUUUUUCUUAACAUAUAAGAAAGAAAAUUCUAUCCCAUUCAUUUCAUUUUUGUAAUAUAUGGCAAAUUGUACCAAUGUUCUCGCUAUCACAAAAUGGAAUUGAACAUAUGCAUGUAUCGGUGCCUUUGGAGCAUUGAAUUUGCAUGUUCUUUUCUAAUUUAUAAACAUGACUAAUUUAGACAUUGAUGAGCAUCCUUCAAGAUGGUGGUAACUGACAAAUGCUUCAAUAUUUUUAAUGAAAUAACUUUUCUUUUAAUCAAUCAUCUAAUUAGCCCAAAUUGUUGGCCAAAUUUUAGUUAGUGAUACCAAUAUAAAAUUUACAAAAUAUAGAGAUGGCAUAGAUAUACGUACUUAAUAUAUUUUACAUACCACCAGCCCCAAUUUUUCAUGAAAUUAUAUAUUCAUUAUAAACUUGCAUUAACUUAUUAUAUUAUAAAUUCAAACAAUUUAUUAAUGCUAUCAUUAAUGGGAAUAAUAUUUCAAAACCCAAACCUUUAUAAACUUCGUAGUUAUAAUAGUUUUAUUUUUUCUUUUUAAACAAGCAUUUCUUUAAUCUCCUACCUCUUGUAAGCCAAUUUCAUCAAUCAUAGUUAUACAAUAGUGUGGGAAAACACUUAUUUACAGCUGAUUGUAAUUUUGUAAUCUGUAUAUUUAUAUUUAUAUCCUUAGAAUUAAGUAUUCGUAUCCCUAGAAUUAAGGAUAAAAAAUUAGGAUAGACAAUCCCUCAAUUAUAUGAUCAAUUUUUAGGAAGAUUUAGUUUCCUAGUUUACCUACAAGUUAGUUGUUUAUAAACCUAAUGUGCCUGUAUAAUUCUUAAUGAACAGUUUUUCAAUAUAUAUUCAAUUUUACUCUUAGUUUUUCACAUAGUUUAUUUCUUAGUUUUUCUACAUGGUAUUAGAGCUUUAGUCUCUUCUUAGGAAGUAAAAUUUUCAGCCAUCAUUGCUAACUACUAUUUUAGGCCUUCAUUGCUGAACCUUGUUAAGACUUUCAUAGCCAUUUUAUUUUUCUAUUCUUUAGCUUUCAUUGCUAAGAGUUAUUUCUGAUUAUAUCUUAAGAUUUGUUUUAGUUCAAAAAAAGAUAUCACUGCCAUUCAAUUUGAGGAAGUGUCAACUGAAAAAAUUAUCGGUGUACUACAAAUGUCUCAAAAACAAAAAGAGUUGGACAGAGAAGAGAUUGAGAAGCUGAAAAGCCUAUUGAAAACUCUUGAAAAGCCUACUGGGGUAUAUUUUUUGGGUAAGGUCUCUAGUUCAGGUAAAGCUUCUAGUUCUCAUAGAUUAAAUGUCUCGGUUAAGUCUAUUACGAGUUCUUUGAUCAUUAACUCAGGAGCCAUAGAUCAUAUGACAUAUUCCUUACAGAAAUUUAGUACAUAUACCCUGUGUCCUAGCAAUAAAAGAAUUGUUGUUAUAAAUUAUUCACUUACUACAGUGACAGGUUUAAGAGAUGUUCAAAUUAAUCACUCGUUUGUUUUUAAAAAUAUUUUUCAUGUUCUUAGAUUGUCUACUAAUCUGAUAUCCAUAUAAACACUUACCAGAGAUAUGAGCUACAAAGUAACUUUUUAUCCCUCUUAUUAUGAAUUUCAAGAUCAGAGUUCGAAGAAGAAGAUUGGACUUGCUAAGGAGAAUAAUGGAUUAUACUAUUUUAAGACAUCAAACAUCACAAGUAAUAUGAAGAAUAGUUUACCUUUGUUAUUUCUUUUCGAAAAAUCUCCCAAUAAAGUCAAAAUCUGGCUUUAUCAUUUUCAUAUUGGACAUUUUUUUUUAGAACUUUAAAAAACAUGUUUCCUUCUUUGUUCAAAGGAUUAAAUGCUAAAAACUUUCAUUGUGAUGUUUGUGAACUUGCAAAGCAUAGACGUGUGUCUUUUUCAGUUAGCAAUAAAAGAAGUUCUUUUCCUUUUUACUUGAUUCAUAGUGACAUAUGGGGUUCCUCUACAAUUCUUAAUAUUUUGGGUGCAAGGUAGUUUGUUUCUUUCAUAAAUGAUUGUCCUAGGGUCUCUUGGAUAUUUUACUUAAAUCCAAAUCAGAUGUGAAUAGUAUUUUUUAAGCUUUCAAAACAUGAUCUAGAAUCAAUUUGAAGUGAAAAUCAAGAGAAUUAGGUCUGAUAAUGCAAGAGACUAUUUCAACCAAAAUUUAUCUACCUUUUUUCAGAAUGAGGGGAUUAUUCGUGAGUCAUCUUGUGUUAAUACUUUAUAGUAUAAUGGAGUGGUUGAGAGGAAAAAUAACCAUUUACUAGCCACAACUCGAGCUUUACUUUUUUAAGCAAACGUACCCAAAUUCUACUAGGAGGGAACUGUUCUCACUAUCAUACAUGUUAUAAAUAGGUUACCUUUAAGAGCUUUGGGAUUUAAAACUCUUAUAGAAUUACUCUCACAAUUUUAUCUCAACUUUAAUACUACAAAUAAUCUCAUACUUAGGAUAUUUGAUUGUACAUCAUUUGUGCAUGUUCACAAUCAUAAUAGGGGAAAGUUGGAUCCUAGAGCAAUCAAGUGCAUUUAUGUGGGAUAUUCAUCAACCCAGAAAGAGUAUAAAUGUUAUCAUCUUCUUACCAAAAAAUUCUAUGUGUUUGCAGAUGUUACUUUUGAAGAAAGUAAACCAUUUUUUACUUAACCUUAUCUUCAGAGAGAGACUUCAUUCAUGGAAGAUAAGGAUACAGACUUCUUUUUGCUUAAUUUGUCCUCUUCUUCAAUAUUUUUACCCAUUAAUUCUUUUAAGUUGAAACUUGUUUCUUUUGAGUUUAAGUCAAAUGCUAAAUUUAAGUUUGAACCCAUUCCAAACAUAGAAGAUGUGACAAAAGAUAAUAUUGUUCUUGAUUCUAUGAAAGAAUUAUAGGUGUACUCAAGAAGGAAAGUUCUAAAUCCUAAACCAAUGCCAGUCCAAGAACUUGAUCCUAACUUUGGAAAUUAGGUAACUACAAUCUUUGACUUUGUUUCUCAAAAUAAGCAUGGACCUCCUAAAACUAUAACUAGUGAUUAUGAUCCACCUAUUGUCAUUAGAAAAUGAACUAGAUAAUGUACUAAACAUCCACUAUACCCAAUCUCUAAUUUUGUGUCAUUUAAAAAAUUCUCACCAUCCCAUAAAAAUUUUCUU